rnacentral:lncRNA from 1 species
GGAACCGGACCUAGGGUUUCCCAUGGUGCUCGAAGAAGGGCCUUGGUAAAGGCCUUGGCAAUGCCUUCAAGAACCGGACAACACCCCACACGUGUCACCGCUGCUAACAUCGUUGAACCGAGCAGGGAGUUUGCCCUAUACUAUGCCCGACAAAUCCCAUAACUACCGGACCAGAGUCCAAAGAUAAGGAAAACGGGUAGCUGGCUGGAACCGUCACCAUAGGAAGGGGAUUUGCGCCCGCUACGGAAGAGGGUGUAACCUGGCGUCGUCGGACUUGAGAGCACUACUGGAACUGGCAUGGACAUGGUUAGGCGCUAGAGGAUAUGUAGGUCCAAGACCACCGGAAUUGGAGCAGCACCAGCGAAGCAUCCACCACGAAGCCACGCAGACCCACCGCACCUCUCGAAAACCAACGACCCGUCGGCACCACCAUAGACUGGAUUUGGCUCGGAGCGGUGCACCCACCAACACCCUCAUUGCCCCUCCUAGGCAAGAAAGAGCAUCUAGGCAACAAUAGUGCGAACCUAACUAACAUGUUUAGUAAAUCAUGUAGUUUUAUGUUUUAUAUAUAUAAUGCAUUUCCAAUGUGAGGUAUAUAAUGCAUUUCCAAUGUGAGGUAUGAUCAUGUGUCAUUUUCUUCCCAACAUAAUGCAUUUCCGUUGUUCAAGUAAUAAAAACAUGCUUAACUAUAAUAGUAAUUUGAUUUUAAUAAGACAGUCAUCCAAACUGAAACAAAGACUUGGUAGGAGAAAUGGAUGUACACCAUAACACCAACUCCUCCCACCAACUCAGCGCAACAUGAUACAAUACACUGUUUAUAUGUUCAAGUACACUACAAGCAAUAUGAUGAUUUAUGUUUGGAAGGCGUGCAGCUGGUGAGAACCUAUGACACAAAAAGUAUAUAUGUACAUUUGCCACGUAUAAAGAUGAAGAUAUGAAUCAAUAAGAGCCCAUAAGCCAUGCAAUGCAGUGGGCCAGGCACCUUCAUGUCACCGAUUCCCCGUCUAUGAAUAUCCGUCUCUCUUCUGCCUCUCAGUUCUGGAUCCGAACAACGAUGGAAGAUGAUUGUUCUUGUAUCCAAAGAGUAUGAAGCAGAUAUAUGAUCAGUUUCAUACGCUUAAGAGGCGCACAAAAUUAUUUUACGUCACACAGUUACAUUGACUUGGAAGGCAUAUGGAAUAAUUUUACAAUUAGAAAGUCUAGUCAUACAACCGGACUUUUGAGUACCUCUUGCCCCCUUGUUUAGACUCGGUGGCUGCUCUGGACAGUAAGAUGCCUCUGAGAUGCAGCGGCAUCGGGAAAUGAGUACAUGCCCCAUCUUCUUCUCAUGAGUCACUCUCUGGCCUGAUAGUACAAGCACAUCCGGCUGGGAACACAUGGAACAGGAUGACGACAUGGAUAGCCUAUCUUGCUUUUGUUCCUCGAGCCACAAGCAUACGGCGGAAGGUUACCAUCUUGGUGGUAUAUCAUGGUGUCGGCGCUUGAGGAGGCUACCAUCUUGGUGCUCUGCAGGGGUGGGGAGGGGAGUUCAUCAUGUAUUUAGAGACACGAUAAUCUUCAUAUUUGUAUUGUGCCCAAUCUAUAUAUAAAGAUUUUGUAAAACUAUGCUCCCUAAUUUUAAAAAUGUCAUAUUUAAUUGAGGUCUCCAAUUAUAACUGGGUCGGGAGUCGAGCGCUCUCGAGCGACCCGGGGGUGACCCCCGUCCCGCCGACGGCAUAGCCACAUCCUCUCACUCCCUCCCUCGCCGCCGCAUGAGGCUGGCAUCGGGCAAGCCCAUGGCCUAGCCAGGGACUGCGGCAACGGGGCCUUUGUUGCUCCGCCUUGCGCUGGAGAUCGAUUGGAUUUGGGGCGACGGUCCUUCAGGCGAGGCCCCUCUGUGCUGUGGUGAGCGGCGGGGCUGGCGUGGUGCCGGUGGUCUAGUCGGACGGCCAAUGGAUCUUCGGUGGACCAGGGCCUGGCGUGGCUACGCUGGCGGCCGGCGGCACCUAAUUUGGCCGAUGUCCUCGGCCCUAAUCGAUGUGCUUCUAUCAUGCGGGUUCCUGGCGGUGCUGGUGUGGCUUGUUGGGACCCUGGACGGUGAUCGCGGAUGAAGCUGGUGGAGGAGAUCCAGGUUGGGUGAAACCCCAUGGUCGGACCUGUCUGGCCACACCGACGUCAGUCUAUGUUUUCUCCACCACUUCCUCCCUAUGUCGGUCUCGGUCUUCUUGGAUUUGUCUCGAAUAUUGUGUACAAGGUAGAUUAGAGUUGGACUCUGAGUAGUAUUAUGUUUAGUCGGGAUAUGAAGUUGUGUCCUAAUAGGACACUUGUAUCCUUGCCGGUGCCCAGGGCACCGGGGUGCGCUAUUGUGACGGGUCACGUCGGGGAGCACCCGUAGUCAGGCCCCACGGAUGUAGCCAUAUCGAUGAAACUCGUUAACAAAUCUCGGUGUUGUGCUCAUGUGAUUGUUGGGUCCUCGUAUGAUCAACGAUGUGCCUCAGAUUUAUUCUAACAGCGUCAAUGGUAUUUCAUUCUAUAGUAGUGUUUGUUUUGCUUUUUCUCUUCGAUUUUCUACUCAAUUAUUUCCAACGAAAAAACAGCUGUCAGAUUUUUUUAAGGGUCUACACCACUAACCUAUUUUAAAAAUAUAAUCAAAGUUUUAAAAAAUCAGUGCUUAUCUGAAAAUAUUACACCGUACAUUGGAAUUGGAAAAAGAUUCACCAUUUAUUCUCGCAAAAAAGGUUCACUGUUAAUAAAAAUGUUCGUGUAUUUUAAAGAAAAUUCUAUCUGUAUUUACUAUGUACUAAUUUCAAAUGUAUAUUAUAUUAAUAAAUUUAUAUAAAAACUAAAAUUUCCAAAAAAGAAAAUGUAUCAGAAAAUAAUAAAAAAAGGGACAAGGAAACCAACAGCUACCAGUGACCGAGACCCAACAGCUAACUGGCACGAAGUUGGCCGGCCCAUCUAGUUCUGCUGCAACCGUGGCCCGGGUAGGAUUCACCAUGCAGGAAUCAUCGAAAUAAAAAAUUAAGGAGUAUUCCUUUUAAAAGUUACUCUCACCUUCUGAAGUUGUGACAAGUAGAAUGUUGUAUGUGUGUCACUUGUUUUAACCUGAAAUUUUUUUCUUUUUUCAUAGAUCUGUUAUUUUAAUAAGUAUUUCUAUUUUAAACCGUGCGUCUAAAUCUUGAAUUGUUUUCAUCGUUGGGUUCCUCGCGUCGAUAUCUUCAAACAUUGAUCCCAUGUUGAUAGAUUUUGAUGAACUUUUUCAUGAAAAAACCGAACAAAAAACAGGACCAACAAACCGUGCCUCUCGCAGAAGGAAAAAAAAGCGUUUUUCCGUUUUCGAGAGGCACGUCCAUACCUCUCGAGGAAGCAAAUCUCUGCCUCUCGUGGAAGAAAAAAAUGUGUUUUCUUCUAGUUUCUGAGAGGCAUGGCCGUGCCUCUCGUGGAAACAUAACCAUGUCACCCGUGAAAGAAAAAAUAGAAAACACAUUUUUCUCCGUUUCUGAGAGGAUGCAAAUCUGUGCCUCUCGCGGAAGCAAAACCAUACCUUUCGAGGAAGGAAAAAAGAAAGAAAACACGGUUUGUUUUGUUUUCGAGAGGCACAACUAUGCCUCUCGUGGAAGCAAAUCCAAGCCACCCACAGAAGCAAAACCGGUACCUCUCAAGUAAGGAAAAACUUACUUUUUUCGUUUCCAAGAGGCCGGUCAUGGAAGAACUUCGUUACGCCUUCCACAUAAAGCGCUGAGAGAACACCGUCAUGCCUUCCACAUACGUUGGGUGGAAUGCAACCAACCAACGGUUGUACGAAUCGGACAAGAGACUGCACGAACCAACCAUAUGGAACAAGGCAACGGCUACCAGAUAUCAUCACCACUUUGUACUCCCUCCGUAAACUAAUAUAAGAGCAUUUAAAUCACUAUUUUAGUUAUCUAAACACUCUUAUAUUAGUUUAUAGAGGGAGUACCAUACAAAUAAAUAAGAGGACACUUUGGUGACAUUUCAUUUGACAAGUUGUGAAUAGUUAUAAACACAUUUCAUAGUUCAUAUCACAAGGGUUUUGGUUCCCUCUUGAAAUUUGGAGAUUUACCAUGAUUACUGCGGAUUUCGUUCUCCGUUGGUAAAUGAGAAUUUCAAGAAAGAUAUUUUUUAUAUUUUAAAAUUAAACGCUCAAUAUAAAGUAAAAUCCAUGUCUCUCGCAAAAGCAAAACCGUACCUUUUGAGAAAAAAAUAAGAAAACAUGGCUUCGUCUCCUUUUCGAGAGGCUUAGCUAUGCCUCUCGCGGAAGUAAAUCCACGCCACUCAAGAAAGCAAAACCAUGCCUCAAAAAUAAGGAAGAAAUGUAUUUUUUUCGUUUACGAAAAGCAUGACUAUGCCUCUCGUGGAAGAAAUAUGUGCUUCUCGCAAAAAAACGUGCCUCUCGAGAAAGAAAAAAACACGUUUUUCAUGCAAAAAGUAAAAAAUAUAAGUCCAAAAAUUAAGAAAGAGUGUUGGAAAACCGAAACAACAAAAAACCAGAAAAAAAAAUUAAAAAGCGAAAACGCUUAUGAAAAAAUAAAACAAAAAGAAAAUAGGAACGUCCAGAGCAUGAACAGCGCCUGAGAGUGAGCGUUGGGAGGCUCCCGAAGGAGCUCUCCUCAGAUGGUUGAUCGCAUGAAUCCUAUAUGACAAGCAUCAAUCGUAUACUCGAGGCUUACAUGAAGACUCCUCCAUAUGGACCGACCCACGUAAGAGUUGUCCUGCUUCAGUUUUCCUUUUUUCCUUUUUUAUUUUUCUCUUUUUAGCUUAUGGUUUCCCUUCUCUUUUUAUACAUUUUUGUUUUCAUAGUUUUUGCAAUAUACACAUUUUCUCCAAUAUAUCAUGAAUUGUUUUUAAAAAGGAACAUUGACUUUUAAAAUAUACAGAGAGCCUUUUUAAAAUACAGGUAGAAUAUUUUUUAUAUAAGAUGAUUUUUUGUGUGUACAUUAAAAAACCUAAUAUGUGAUGAUCUUUUAUUAUUAUUAUUAUUAUUUUGGUCAAUUUUCCUAAUAUUAUAAGAUGAAUUUUUUUGUUAUACAUCAAAAAAUAAGAGUCAGCGAACAUUUUUAAAUAUAUGAUGACUUUUUAAUAAUGUAUCAAAUUCUUAAAAUAUAUUUUCCUAUUUCAAUAGGUUAUCUAACAUCUACUACCUCCCGUCUAAAAUAUAUGGCGCUCCCCUAUGAGAGCGUCAUAUAUUGUAGAACCAAUGUAGUAGCUCCUAAAAAUCAAUGGAAACAAAAAAUAAAAAAAAAGGUUGGCUAGCCAAUUUGCCCUCCCAGCGUCUACUAAGAUGUCUCCGGAUGGCCCUCCGAAUUCAACAUUAACAGAGUAUGUUAGCACCCUUAGGGUCGACAAAACCUUCUGGUUGCAUCAUAUACAACUCUUCUUUAAGGUUCCCGUUAAGGAACGCUGUUUUGACGUCCAUUUGCCAAAUUUCAUAAUCAUAAAAGGCGGCAAUUGCUAACAUGAUUCGGACUGAUUUCAGCUUCGCUACGGGAGAGAAAGUCUCUUCGUAGUCAACUCCUUGAAUUUGUCGAAAACCCUUUGCGACAAGUCGAGCUUUGUAAACGGUUACAUUACCGUUUGCAUCAGUCUUCUUCUUGAAGAUCCAUUUAUUUUCUAUGGCUCGCCGGUCAUCGGGCAAGUCCACCAAAGUCCAUACUUUGUUUUCAUACAUGGAUCCUAUCUCGGAUUUCAUAGCCUCAAGCCAUUUGUUGGAAUCCGGGCCCGUCAUUGCUUCUUCAUAGUUCGAAGGUUCAUCGUUGUCUAACAACAUGAUUUCCAUCACAGGGUUGCCGUACCACUCUGGUGCAGAGCGUGCCCUUGUGGACCUUCGCGGUUCAGUAGUAACUUGAUCCGAAGCUUCAUGAUCAUCAUCAUUAACUUCCUCUUCAGUCGGUGUAGGCGCCACAGGAACAACUUCCCGCGCUGCGCUACUAUCCUGUUCGAGAGGGGGUGCAAUUACCUCAUCAAGUUCUACCUUCCUCCCACUUACUUCUUUCGAGAGAAACUCUUUCUCUAGAAAGGACCCGUUCUUGGCAACAAAGGUUUUACCUUCGGAUCUAAGAUAGAAGGUAUACCCAAUAGUUUCCUUAGGGUAUCCUAUGAAUACGCAUUUCUCCGCUUUGGGUUCGAGCUUUUCUGGUUGAAGUUUCUUCACAUAAGCAUCGCAGCCCCAAACUUUAAGAAACGACAACUUAGGUUUCUUGCCAAACCAUAGUUCAUACGGUGUCGUCUCAACGGAUUUAGACGGUGCCCUAUUUAAAGUGAAUGCUGCAGUUUCUAAUGCGUAUCCCCAAAAUGAUAGCGGUAAGUCGGUGAGAGACAUCAUAGAUCGUACCAUAUCUAAUAAAGUGCGAUUACGACGUUCAGACACUCCCUUGCGCUGUGGUGUGCCAGGCGGCGUCAGUUGUGAAACGAUUCCACACUUUCUUAGGUGUGUGCCAAACUCGUGACUCAAAUAUUCUCCUUCACGAUCAGAUCGUAGACAUUUAAUUUUUUUGUCACGUUGAUUUUCAAUCUCACUCUGAAAUUCCUUAAACUUUUCAAACGUCUCAGAUUUGUGCUUCAUCAAGUAGAUAUACCCAUACCUACUCAAAUCAUCGGUGAGAGUGAGAACAUAACGAUAACCACCGCGAGCUUCAACGUUCAUUGGACCACACACAUCAGUAUGUAUUAUUUCUAAUAAGUCGGUUGCUCUCUCCAUUAUUCCUGAGAAUGGAGUCUUAGUCAUCUUGCCCAUGAGGCACGGUUUGCAUGUGUCAAAUGAUUCAAAGUCAAGAGACUCUAAUAGUCCAUCAGUAUGGAGCUUCUUCAUGCGCUUAACGCCGAUAUGACCAAGGCGGCAGUGCCACAAGUAUGUGGGACUAUCAUUAUCAACUUUGCAUCUUUUGGUACUCACACUAUGAAUAUGUGUAACAUCACGAUCGAGAUUCAUCAAGAAUAAACCAUUCACCAGCGGAGCAUGAUCAUAAAACAUAUCACUCAUAUAAAUAGAACAACCAUUAUUCUCUGACUUAAAUGAGUAGCCGUCUCGCAUUAAGCAAGACCCUGAUACAAUGUUCAUGCUUAAAGCUGGUACUAAAUAACAAUUAUUAAGGUUUAAAACUAAUCCCGACGGUAGAUGUAGAGGUAGCGUGCCGACGGCGAUCACAUCGACCUUUGAACCAUUCCCGACGCGCAUCGUCACCUCGUCCUUGGCCAGUCUCCGCUUAUUCCGCAGUUCCUGCUUUGAGUUGCAAAUGUGAGCGACAGCACCGGUAUCAAAUACCCAGGAGCUACUACGAGCACUGGUAAGGUACACAUCAAUAACAUGUAUAUCACAUAUACCUUUACCCUUUCCCUUGCAAUAGAAGCACUCAGUUUCGGGCUUGGGUCCAUUCUUUUUCUUCUUCCCGGCAUCUGGCUUACCGGGUGCGGCAAUAGCUUUGCCGUCUUUCUUGAAGUUCUUCUUACCCUUGCCUUUCUUGAAACUAGUGGUCUUGUUGACCAUCAACACUUGAUGCUCUUUCUUGAUUUCUACUUCUGCAGACUUGAGCAUCGAGUACAACUCGGAAAUGGAGGAUUCUGUCAAUUAUAGCAUCAUCCGGAAGUUCGACUCCAAGUGAAGUCAGACGACCGUGUAUAUGUGCUCACUGACAGAACUGUUUUCCUCCAUCUUACAGCUAAAGAACUUGUCGGAGACUUCAUAUCUCUCGACACGGACAUAUUUUCAACAGUAGUGCCAACCAUUUGGUUAUACAAAAUAGAUUUGUAGUGCCAACCAUUUAGUAAUUGCUAGUUGUGCAAUCAUAACAGAUUUUUCUAUUAUACUAAAAAAAUGCAAUCAUCAAAUUAAAAAAAUGAAAAAUUGAAUGGCUCCUCACCGACAAUUGCUGGUCAUUUGUGCGGGCGUUCGGUGAUAAAUUAAUAGAACGCACUUCUACUUUCGUGACCUUUCAUAUAUAGUCUGGAACUUUAUUUAGUUAGUGUGUAAAUAAAAUAUUUACGAUCAAAAACUAAUGUAACAUAAUCGAUGUCAGUUGAAUGAAAAUAAAAGAAACCUCCUAGCUAAUCCUGCUUGUGUGGACGGCCUAGAUAGGCGGAAGCCUUGGUCUUUUUCCAAUAAUCCUAGACGUACGGAGCUUUACAGGACUGUUACGGACAAGACAGUUUGUGAUUCGUUAAUAAUCCAUCUGCCCCCUGAUUUUUGGAUGGGAUGCCAUCCUCCGACUAAUAGUAUUCCUCUAAAUUAGUUUCCCUGUAAUCUCCUGUAAAAUAAGCCAGUAUGUGUAGCAUUACUGGUCUUUUCCGACAGCCACACGAGCGGGUAUCUUUAGUAGCAAUGGCCAUACCGGCAGUCACCUUCGCCUACCAAUCGGCGUUGGCAUGGUCGAAGUAGCGUUUCUAUGCUUCCUCUUCUGCUUUUUGGCAUCCACCACUAGGAUCAUCUUCUUGUCCGACCAGACACCCUCUUCCUUGCCUUCUUGCACGCUGACGGGGUGGUGGGAUGAUAUGAAUACAUUGUCGGACGAUACGGCUGAGGUGGAGAGGAGAGAUCAUCGAAGAAGGUGAGACCGAGGAUGCCAGUGUCGUUUUUAUACAGCCAGAGAACGUCAUCCAUUGUAGUGGGAAUCAUCGCCCAUAGAUGGACAGGACUGCAUUGAGCUAAUCAUUGAGAUCCCACGUAGGAGUAGUAUGCAUUGGAAUUGAGGACGUGUGAAUGCAUCUUAGUUUCCAUUUUCGUUCAUCAUUGCAGAGACCAUUUUCGUUCAUCAACGUGGAAACAAUCAAUUAACUUUUGAACAUAUAGCAUUGACCGGCCACUAACUAUGAUGGUCAGGGAUACAUUAAUAAGUACUCCCUCUGUUUCUAAAUAUAAGUCUUUUUAAAUAUUUUAUUAAUUAAACGACUACAUACAAAAUAAAAUUAAGAAAUUUAUAUUCUAUAGUAUAUUUAUAUACAUCCGUAUGUAGCCUUUCAUAAAAUUUCUAAAAUAAUUUAUAUUUAGGAACGGAGGGAGUACUACAAACCGGCCAAAUAAGACGGAUUGCCUAUGAUAAAAUUUCGUCCAUGCAAGGUGGAAGAACACAUCAUUAUUGACCGAGCAUUUUCCGAUCAGGCAGUGUUAAUUUCCUCGCACGGUCGUGAGAGGCUCAUCACUUACGCCACGGAGCUUUCCUAUCAGUAUGAGGCGUCAGUGGUAUUUCGUUUUAUAGUAGUGUUUGUUUUGCUUUUUUCUCUUCGAUUUUCUAGUCGAUUGUUUCCAACAACAAAAAAACAACUGUAGGAUUUUGUAGAUGGUCUACAUAACUAACCUAUUUUUAAAAUACAAUCAAUGUUUUUAAAAAAACAGUGCUUAUCUGAAAAAUUACACCGUAUAUUAAUAAAUUUAUAUAAAAACUAAAAUUUGCCAAAAAAAACGAAUCUGAAAAUAAUAAAAAUGCACAAGAAAAAAAGAACAGCUACCAGCGACCGAAAACCUAACAGCUAACUCACACGAAGUGGGCCGGCCCAUCUCGUUCUGCUGUGACCGUGGUCCGGGUAAGAUACAGGAUGCCCGGUGAAUCCUCGAAAUCACUAAUUGAGGAGAACUUAUCUUAAAGGUAACUCCCACUUUCUCAGGUUGUGAUAAAUGGCGCACUAUAUAUGUGCCACUUGUUUCAACCUGAAAGAUUUUCCUUUUUCAUAGAUCCGUUUUUUUUAAACGGCUUACCUCUUAAACCAUGCGUUCAAAUUUUAAAUCGUUUUCACCAUUUGAUUCCUCGCGUCCAUAUAUUCAAACCUAGAUCACAUGUUGAUAGAUUUUAACAAACUUUUUCUUUGAAAAAACCGAGCAAAACGCAGAAGAACAAACCAUGCCUCUCGCAGAAGGGGAAAACACAUUUUUUUUCGUUUUAGAGAGGCACGACCGUGGCUCUCGAGGAAGCAAAUCUUUGCCUCUCACUAAAGCAAAACCAUGUCUCUCGUGAAAGAAAACAACGAGUUUUUUUUGUUUCCGAAAGGCACGGUCGUUCCUCUCGCGGAAGAAAGAAACAUAAAAUUCAUGUUUUCCGUUUCUAAGAGGAAGCAAAUCUGUACCUCUCGCGGAAGCAAAACCGUGUCUCUCGAGGAAGAAAACAAAUUUUAAAAAAACACAGUUUUUUGGUUUUCGGGAGGCAUUGUUGUGCCUCUUGCGGAAGCAAAUCCAUGCCACUCGCGGAAACAAAACCGUGCCUCUCGAGUAAGGAAAAAAACACAUUGUGUUUGUUUCCGAGAGUUACGAUCGUGUCUCUUAUGGAAGCAAAACCGUGCCUCUCGAGAACAAAAAAAUUACAUUUUUUCGCGCAAAAAGUCUAAAAGUUAAGAAAGAGUGUUGGAAAACCGAAAGAACAAAAAGGACAGCAAAACAUAUAAAAAGAAAAAACGCUUGCGAAAAUAUAAAACAAAAACAAAAUCGGAACGCCCAAAACGCAAAACGUGGCAACGCCUGAGAGUGAGCCUUGGAAAGCUCCCGAAGAAGCGCUCCUCACAUAGUUGCUCCCGUGAAUCCUAUAUGACCUGCAUGAGUCAUAUAGUCGAGGCUUACGUGAAGACUCCUCGAGACGGAGCGGCCCAAGUAAGAGUUAUCUUGCUUCAUUUUUUCCUUUUUUUUCUUUUGUGUUUUUCUCUUUUUAGCUUUUGGUUUUUCCUCUCAUUUUACACAUUUUGAUUUUUAUAGUUUUUGCAAUAUACACUUUUUCCUCCAAUAGAUUGUAUUUUUUUAAACAGACACUGAUUUUCUUUUCAAUAUAUGGUGAGACUUUUUAAAAUACAGGUUGAACAUUUUUUAUAUAAGAUGGAAAAAAUUAUAAGACAAAAAUAAAAAAAUAAGCUUGGCUAGCCAAUUUGCCCUCCCAGCGUCUACUAAGAGGUCUCCAGACGGCCCUCCGGCUUCAACAUUAACAGAGUUUAAUUUGUUUUUAUUUCACCAAGUGAAGCAACAUGCUACUAGUUAACAUAUGUAAGCCAUCCCUACACGUUAUAUAGGGCAUGAUGGAAAAAACUAAUUCAGACAUUUUUUUCAAUUGUUCGACUGAAAUAGAGCGGCUAGUGCUCAUCUGUGUUUUUCUUGGAUUGUGCUUCUAGUGAGAGAUUGAGAGUUAGGGCUUGGGAAGCUAUUAGACAAUACACGUAUUGUGACACUUUUUGUGCCGCAGCAAGUAAUGUUGAAGUCUCGAAGCCGACAGAAUGCAUGACCCUGAAGCACGCAUUGCUUUCUGAUAACAUGGAUUAUGCGCCCUUGGGAUUAAAGUUCAAGCAGUUGAAGUUUUUCUACUCCACUAGUUAAGUGUUGCUCAAAUCAUAUUUUUGUCCUCAUGAUUACUGCGAACAUGUUCAUGCUCACGUCUUUGCAUGUGUACCAUCUAUGGACGCAAUGCUACCAGAUUGGGUUGACGGUCCUAGCAGAUUUUGUAAGCGCAAAUCGUAGAACAUGACAAUAUUCUAUAGUAUUUUCAUUAAUUAGAAAACAAAACAUAGAAAUAUAUACAAUAACGAAUAAAAAAGAAACUAAGAAAUGAGGCAGAUCAACCAAUCAGAUUGGGUAGCCUGUUUUUGUGACCAAUGAUUUAGCCAUGUCUUAAUGACUCUAAAAAAGUGUUUCUUAAUAGAACAUAUGUACUUCAUUUUGGAACGAUUAUUUAAAAUGGUAUAAAAAAAUCAUUGUAUUAGUUGUUACACUAGGAGUGUAGAUUGUUUGGUCUCGUUUUUCAAUUGAAUCAAGAAAUUCUUGGGAGGCAUGCAGAUGACAAGAACAUGUGACCUUGUAAAUACUAGUAGAACGUCCGUGCGUUGCUACGGGCUUUCAAAAACUAAGAUGCUUUUAAUGGAGUUAAAGUAACUAAGAACCAUGCACGAAGCAGCUAACACACAUCUUUUUUAUUGAUAAUCAGCUAACGCACGUCAUACCAUCAAACACAAUAAUAUGUUAUUGAAAACUAAAAGAAUGUUAUUUAACCCAACCGGUUAUUGAAUGGCUGGAAGGGUUGUGUUACCCAUCCACGUGUGUGGUGGUGGUGGUAAGUGUGUACGUUGUUGUCCAUAUUUUUUAAAACUUUUACCAAGAUGUUGAACAAUUUUUAUUAUCUUAUCUUUUCCUUAAUUCAAAUACAAACACAUCAUAAAAAUCUGGAGUUCAUGUCGCUAUUGUCAUUCCUUCGCCGGUCGAUAUUUUCGUGGGGAGCACAUUUGAGCCACCGCUAGUUUCUAAUAAUAUUUUAUACAAAUACACACUUCCUAAUAUCUUAACGCUCCAGGCUUCUAGACAUGGAGACAGCCCAAAGAAAGUAUCUUUUUUACCAUUAUCACUUCUUUAUCUGGUAGAAGAAACCAUCCUUUUUUACAUAAGUAUGACAUACACGUUUGGUUGCACACUUGCAGAACUUUCAAUGAUGUUUCGAGAUUUAGUUACAGGCCAAGUAUGGCAUGAGAAAAACUAACAAUGAUGUUUGCAUGGUCAUCUUUACACCAUGAAAAAAGGCAUUUUGGGAGUCUUGAUCACCACCGAAAGUACGUUGAUUGAUGCAUUAUGAACCCCUGAGCUUUUCUAGAGGACAUAGACCAGAACUGGACAAAGAAUUUGAAUUGCAUGUGCCAGUUUCCUAAUUGAGGCCCUAAAUUUGAACUAGAUGGACAAGGAAUUUAAAAUGUGGUGUUUCUUCAAGUAUGUAUGAAAUGCAUGUUGUAUUGACAUGCAGAAAUGGCUUUUCAAGUAUGGUUGCAAUACAAUUCUAAAACACGACACAUAUAUUAUAUACCACAGAACAUUUGAAUUUUUUUGAUGUGGGUACUGGUAUUUUUUUUAGAACAAGAUUAAGCACCCACAAAAUCAGAUGAGGUACCAACAGUUUCAGUAAUAUAUUAAUUCACUGGUGUUAUUUCAAGUGAUAACAGAAACUGGUGACUACAAAAACAGUAAGCAAACAUUACAAAGUAGUCAUGAUAUAUAUGAAAAAUAUUCUGUACAUUACAAAGAUCACCAUAUACGAAUAAAAUUAGUUGAAAGUAAUUGGACAUGUUAUGAGAUGCUAAACUUGAAUCAUUAACUAUGCAAUUUAUUGGAAGUUUGGAGUAUGACACUGCGGAUGUGCUUGCAUGGCCUACUCCCUCCUCAACAAGAACAUUGUACACAUAUACAUAAAGUACGAUAUCAAUUUACAAAUAGAAUAAAGAAUGGUCAUGGGAUUUAACUUGUUCGGUGUUCUCGGUAGAAAUAAAUAGGAUCAGUAGUCCCUUACUAACAAAUCUGAAACCAAGAAUUCAGUGUAUGUUCCAUCAACCUCUAUGGGAUCCGGAUGAUAUGCAAGAAAUCCAUGGUUUUGUUUCAUUCAAGCUAUAUACGGAGUACAUAGCAAUCAAUGGAUACAAAUUUUAAUUGUCUUACAUAAUUCGUUACCUUCCUGAAAGCCUCACAUUUGAUUGAAGAUCUGAAGUAGUCUGGUUGGAUGAACAUGUUUCUUCAGUGAUGGCUGUUGAACCCAACUUGCCUACCAUCGACGUACAUAAUGGAUGAACGUACCAUCAACGUACCAUUACGUGAGUGCAUAAUCUCCUUUAACAGUAUAUAUAUAUAGGUAAAUGUGCCCGUGUGUUGCAACGUGAGAAAUAAAAUCCUCACACGCCCUGAAAGAUCUAUCCAUGUUGCCACUUCUUUUUGUUGGCACACAAUUUAAUACAUCAAAUUCCUAAUUCUUUUGCAUCUAAAUUUUAAUGCUACCAGAACAUAAAUAUCACUCAAAGUUUUGGCUAUGUGUAUGCCCAAACCUGAUCAAACUAGCAUGGUUCACUUUUGCUCUUAUCUAUACACCUAAAUCAAGUAAAAAAUGCAAACAUAGCAAUUAGAAUAGAGGACCACCAAAGCAGAUGUAAACUCCCAGGUCUAAGUCUGUUUUCAGAUAUGUGUCUUAUUGAGACAACCAUCAAGUGGGUAUGCUGGCAGCUAGAUUAUUACAGAGACAAACAGCAAACCACAUAUAGUAACAUCGAUCUAUCUACUUUCCUAGACUACUGGCUGCAAGGAUUUUGCUAGUCAUGAAUAAAAUAUUCUAGAGUAACCACGAGCUGGUUGUGCGGCCUCCGAGCGUAUGACGUCGACAGGCUCCGCAUCUUGCUCCCCUCUACAUACCAAUGGGAAUGUCGACGACGUUCGUACACUGGAGCUAGCUAUGGGCCGCGGAUCGAUGGGAACUGGUGCACACUCUCAUCGCCGACAACCGCAAGGGCAACCUCCGCCUGCUCUGACACCAGCGCCGCGGGAUGGACAGGGUCAACAUGCAGCAGCCGCCGGUGGAGGUGCGAUGGCGGAACCUGCGCAUCGAGGCGGAGUAGAGAAUGACCCUUCUCCUUGAAGCCCCACGUUGUGGCAAAACCAUGCUUCUGCUAGCACUUGCUGGAAAUAUCAGUACAAAAGUAACAAAAGUUUUUAAUACACGAAGUCUAGCAAUCUUGGCAAAAUGGGAUAUUAGCCUACCCAAGUUACUGGACCCUUAGCAAGUUUAUACUGAAUUGUACAAAUUAGUUUAGUAAAACAUUGGUCUGCACAAAAUAGGGUGUAUUACCUUGAGCCAAAUUGAUGUUUAUCCCAACUCCUAAUAUGAGAAAUUGGCUGAUGAAUACCAGCGUGAAAUAAAUAUUUCAUCGACUUGUGAAGAAUUGGAAGACGAUUGAAGGAAGAUUCAGAGCCAAUAACAUGCAGAAUACCACAAGUUCUGAUUGAGUAAUUUGAGCAAAGUGAAUCUGACGAGGACACGGGGUUCAAACUCAAGCACUGAAGUUCUUAUAGAAACAAGUCAAAAAACAGAAAACCGCACUACAGUCACACUUAAAUCCUAGGGGAACACACAACCUAACAACCUCAGAAACUUGUACCAUACUUUUCCCUCACGGGGUUGACGCUGAUCAAUGGCUGCUCGGGCAGGCCGGCGGCUCAACGGCAUGUGGGCACGACAAGAAGCGUUGUGAUGUAGUUGGUAAUCGCUGGUUAAUUGUCUAGUGCUUUCGCCACACCAUUCUGCAAGUACCUUUAGGAGUAGAGAUAUGGUUUUGCCGCACAUAAAUGUGAAGCUAGCAAAUCAAAGCUGAAAGAGAAGUUUACCCCAUGUGCUCAAAAUAGGAGUAGCGCAAGCAAUGCAAUGCAGUGGUCCAGUGAGCCACCACCUUCACGCCCCCAACUUCCAAUCGAUAAAUAUCGGUCUCUUCCUUGCCUCUCAGUUCCAAAAUCCUCUAGCAUUGAUGAACAGAGAUCGUCCAUACAUCUAAAGAGUAAAAACGAUGCGUGUGUUGUAUCCACAUGAGCUGCCUAGGCUUGAGAGGCAUCAGAAAUUAUUUAGUGGCAAGAAAGCCACGUGGCACGAACAGAUAUCUUUUAGCCUCUUCUUCAGUGCGUCUACGUGGAAAUUGGGCGAAUGAAUAUAGAGAUUCCCCGCAUGUCAUCUCACUUUCUGACCUAGGAUCCACACAUCCGAGGUUGGGACUUUCUGGCCAAGGGAUCUGUUAGUGAUAAAUUAAUUGAAUCCACUUCUACUUUUGGGAUAUUUCAUAUAUAGUUUGGAAGUUGGUUCAAUUAAUGAGUUAAUAAAAUAUUGUGAUGCAUAACUAACGACACAUAAUCGAUGGCAGUUGAAUGAACUCAAACAAAUCGUAGCUUUUUUUUUUAGUAUCUAAAAAAAAUCGUAGCUAGUCAUGCUUGUGCGGCCGGCCCAGUUUCGGUUGCCAACGGUUUUGGGAACCUACUAGGAGGUUCCCCGAACAGUUUUUUUCUUUUUACCCUUUAUUACGUUUUUCUGUUACGUUUCCUUUUUUUCUGUUUCUUUUCUUCUUCUUUUUUACUAAAGUUAUUUUAUUUUUUCAAAACUAAAUUAAUGUUUGCAAAUUGUUCUUGAAAUUCAAAAAAAUUUCUUGCUUUCAUAAAAAUGUUUUAAAUUUCAAAAUAGUUUCUGUUUUACAAAAAAUCAUACGUUCAAAAAAUGGUCAUGAAUUUAAAAAAGUGUUUGAUAUUUUAAUAAAAUGUUCAAGAUUUUAUAAAAAUAUUCUUGUUUUUCAAAAAAUUGCUCUUAUUUUCGUUUCCAUUUUUUACUUCACUUUCGUUAUUUUUUUCCUAUUUCCAUUUUUUAUGUUUGACAUUUUCUAAUUUUUCUUUUGAAUUUUUGAAAAAUGUUCUCGAGUUCCAAAUAUUGUUCACAAUCUAUAUUUAAAUGUUCGUGCUUAAAAAAUAAUUAGGAACUGCAAAAAACUUCUUGGUUUCAAAACAGUUUGUGUUUCAAAAAUUGUUCUCAUUUUCAAAAAACUUGACAAAUUUCCAAAAAAAAACUUUUUUCAUAAAUUGGUCACAAUUUUCAAAAAACUUUUUGUUUUCUCAUUUUUCUAGUAAAUUUGCCUUUAUUACCAAUAAUUUUUCUCUUUUUUAAAACUUUUGUCCACAAAUUGAACACUUGUACAUAUUUUGUUCACCAAUUCUAAAACUGUUCAUGAUUCGCAAAUGUUCUUCAUUUUCCAGAAAAUGUUUGCCUUUCCAACAAAUAUACGGAAGUUCCAAAAAUGUUCGUGUUUCAAAAAUUGUACAUAAGUUGAAAAAAUGUUCCCACUUCAAAAAUUGUUAACAAAGUUUUUUAAAAAAACUUUUUAAAAUGUUCUAUGUUUGUCAAAUGAUCUUGUUUCUAAUUUGUUUGUAUUUUUUAAAAUUCUUCACAUAUUCAAAAAGUUUCCAUUUAUAAUUUUGUUCGUAAAUACAAAAGCUGUUUUAGUUUCAAAAAUUCAGAAGAAUUCAAAACAGUAACCUUUUAAAAGAAGAAAAAGAUAAACAUAAAAGAAAAUAAAGAAUAUGAGGAAAUGGGAAAAGGAAUAAAUAAAAAGUGAAAAAAUGAGCUGGAUAACUGGGUCGGCCCAAUCGGUUCGCACCUGCCUGUGCGAAGCUAUAGCUAUUGGACGCAGAAUGCGUCCAAUAGGAGGUCUCGUACGGGAUGGUCGGCGAACCCAGAAAAUUUCGAAAUCACUAAUUGAGGAGUACUCUUUUCAAGGAUCACUUUCAUUUACCCAGUUAGCGACAAGUAGUGCAUUGCAUAUGCGUCACUUGUCACAAGUAGCGCACUGCACUGCAUAUGUACUCCUUUCAAGGCAAAACCGUGCCUCUCAUGAAAAAACAACCAAAAAACGUGUUUUUCCUUUCCCAAGAGGCUCUCGCGAAGGCAAAAUUGUGGCUCUCGUGGAACCAAAACCGGGCCUCUCCUGAAAAAAAAACUAGAAAAUGCAUUUUUUUUUAUUUUUCAAGAAGCACGUCCGUGUCUCUCGUGAAGGCAAUGUCGUGCCGUUCGUGGAAGAAAAAACGUGCCUCUCCCGAAAAAAAGAAAACAUGUCUUUGACAAAAAAUAUAUUUUUUUUCUUCCAAAAGCUAACAAAGACCCGUGAAAAAUUGAAACACAAACAAAAAACAGGAAAAAAUUAAUCUAAUAAACCAAAAAUGUGUGCGGAAUUUUUUUUUAAAAGGAAACAUUCAGAGAACGAGCUGUGGCGGCAAAUUAGAACGCGCCAAGUAAUGACACGUGGAAGUGAUCGUUGGAAGGCUUAGCAGGGAGUACUCCUCAACAAGUAACUCCCAGAAAACCUAUUCGCUGCAUCUUGUGGUAUAUUGUCGAGGCUCCGCACAUCCCCCGACUAGAUUAGGGCCGGUAUAGUUUCUAUCGGGCAUUUUUUAUUUCAUAGUUUUCCUGUUUCUAUUUCUUUUCCUUUUUUUCUUUUUCCUUUUUUUCUAUUUUUUCUUUGUCCUUAUUUUUUCCUUUUUUCCACGGUUAUUUUAUAUUUUUGAAACUAAGUUCAUGUUUACAAAUUGUUCUUAAAAUUCGAAAACUGUUCUUGUUUUAUAAAAUUGUUCAAAAUUUCGAAUAUUUGCCAUCUUUCAAAAAUAUCAAUAACUUCAAAAAAUGUUCGGGUUUUCAGAAAAUCUUUUUCCUUUUGAAUUUUUUAGUUAUUUUCGUUUUCACUUUUUUCUUAUUUUCCUUCUCCUAUUUCUUUUGUUUGACAUUUCCUGAUUUUUGUUUCGAAUUUCUAAAAAUGUUCUGGUGAUUAAAUUUGUGUUCACAAUUUAUAUUUAAUUUUUAUUACUACAAAUAUAAUCAGGAAUUGGAAAACAUAUUCUCAUUUCAAAAUAUUUUCAUAUUUGUAGAAAUGUUCAUGUUUGGAAAAAUGUUCCCGUAUUCAAAAACUGCACAAUUUUUUAAAAAUUCCUACAUUUCGUAAAAAAUCUUGGAUUUAAGAAUAUAUUCUUAUUUUUAGAAAACAAUCAUGAUUUCUUAAAAUAAAUUGUGUUUCUAUAAUUGUUCUCCUUUUCAAAAAUUUCUCAUGAUUUUCUUAAAAUUUUCUUUUUUAAUAAAUUAAUAUCGUUCUCAAAAUUAGUUCUUGAUUUUCAUAGAAAUGUUUGUGUUUCAAAAAUUAUCCAGUAAUUUCAAAACUUAAAAUCAGGAAAACAUUUUGUGAAACUCCCAAACAAAUUUGAAAACAGGAACAAUUUUUGAAAAACCUGAAUAUAUUUUUGAUGUUCUGAAAGUUGAACAUGUCUUUUAAAUAUGCAAACAUUUUUUCAAUUGUGAAUAAGAAUAAUAAUAGGAACAUUUUUUGAGCUUAUGAAUAUAUUUAGAUUUUUUUUAAUGAAAUUUUGAAGAACAUGAAAAACAAGGAAAGGGGAUUAGAAAUAAAUAGAAAAUGUAAUAAACACUACAGUACUUGCCGACUACUCGGCAGACCCAGGUCGCUGCUUCUGUGUGCAUCGAACGGCUACUCACCGCAGGAUGUGGUGCAUAGGAGCUUCCGGCGAACUAUAUAUGAUGGUUGGAUGCGUCAUAUAAUUGAGGCUUUCCUGACGACUAUAGACGGGCUAGCCCAUGUAAUGGGUGUUCUAUUUCCUUUAUGGUUUUUCUAUUUUCAUAUUUGUUCUACUUUUUUGGACAGUUUUUAAUAUUGUUAUUCUAAUACACAGUAAAGGAUUUUUCCAAUAUAUGGUGAACAUAUUUGUAAAUACACACUGAAAGUUUAUAUUAUACUUUGAACCUUUUUCUAAUAUAUAUUGAACAUUAUUUACUAUAUGAUUAAAUUUUGUGCUAUAUACAUUUAACAUAUUUUAAUAUUUGAUGACCUUAUGUAAUUAUACUAUGAACUUGGUGAGCCUAACCGCCGUUGCACCAAGCGACGCGUCAAUCUGUUCACGCAUGCAGGUAGAUCACACAAGUAGCAACCCGGCUAGAGACAGGGACGGACCCAGAACAAAAACCUUMCCAUGCUUGCGUGUACACCGUAUAGGUGUUUUUUGUUUUUGAGAAAUACAUUGUAUAGGUGUUGAUACCAGGUUAUNNNNNNNNNNNNNNNNNNNNNNNNNNNNNNNNNNNNNNNNNNNNNNNNNNNNNNNNNNNNNNNNNNNNNNNNNNNNNNNNNNNNNNNNNNNNNNNNNNNNAGAUUGGUGUGACCUCUUUGGCAUACUACCAAUUAAUCUAUUACUUCAUUUGGGUGUUGAGUUAGUUUAGGCCAUCUCUUGUAUAGCGUCGUAACAUGAUAGACAUAUAGUACCUACCGAUCGGAGGAUGAUAUUUCCUUUAUUAACCAGCACUUGUUUGUUGUACUACAUACGUGCAUGUAAGGGGCCGGCUAGAAACCACCCAUGUAUUGUUAGGUGAUGGGGCCAAUUAUUUAUGACCUUACAAUAUUGAAAAUAAUAAUGAAAAAAUGCGACAUCCAAGAAAGUACACUUAGACGCAUAGAUUAUUCUCGCAUACAUAAAACCCAAACAAUAUUAAUGUGUACAUCGUCAUCAACAUCUAAACAAAGAACAAAUAAUCUAAGCAUAAGACAACCAAGAUGCUUAACCUUUUCUAUCGUGAUAACCACUCUUUCAGUCAAUACCUUAUUUUUUCUUAUCUUUUUAGUAGAUUUUUGUUUUGAUGUUUUCAUGGUAUAAAUAUUAUAUUUUUCACUCGAUCUCAUUUGUACCGUUGCAUGUUAAUGACUAUCUGCUGAAAGGAAAGCCAAAAAUUCAGUACUGAUUUCUGUUUAUUACGAGGUGAGUUACUAUUUCAUUUUUACGUCUGUAACUUAGGCCUAUAUUUUGAACUGUGUUAUAUAUUUUGAUGCUUCUCAUGGUACAUUGAUGAUCUUGUUAGUUUGUAAAUAUGCUUCACAUCACUUAAUAAAAAUCUAUCACUUUUCGAUUAAGUAGUUACAAAUAGCUACGACUUCCCAUUAGUGACUAGUUCGUGCAUUUUAAAUGCGUUUAUGAGAAGGAGGGUUCAUAUGUGAGGAUGAUGUGGCACAAAUAGUCAACCCUGUUACAGUUGAAAGUUAAUUGGGAUGGAUUUAAUGACUAGCAGGGUCACAUUUCAGAAAAUGUUAUAAACUUUGAAAAUUCCAAUGAAUCUAUUUAUGGCUUUUCGGAAAAUCAUAGAAAUUAAAACGUAACUCACAUGAAAUUAAAUUAUAUAUGAAGAAUUAACAUAAUAUUCCGAUGAAUCUGUUUAUGGCAUUUUCAUGCAUGUUAGAACAACAUAUGUCCUCAUUUUAGGACAUUCAAAUAAAUGUCAUUUAAAUAAUCACAUAUGGAGUUUGACUUUGAACCUUUGGUUCGAACCAACUUCAUUUAAUCUUGUCGCUAGAUGCAUUAGCGCAAACAACAUCAUAUUGCCAUGUCAUGUUCAUACAUCAUAGUGUUGCAUUUCCGUGAAGUAAAUUUUGUUCUUUUUCUGUUUGCCGGUGUUGUUCCCUGUUGGUAGAUUAUGGUUCCGACGUGGUGAUCGUUGACACUAUUGAAGACUCAAGGUUAUCUUCGAUAGAGUCUUACCGACAGAGUCGUAUACCGAGAAAUUUACCUAAGCAGGGAAUUAAUACUGCUUAGAUAAGUUAUGCCACAGGAAAAGUCAGACAGACCAAUAGGAAGGAAAAUGUGUUCAGACACACAAAGAACCUAAAGUAUACCAUUCCCGAGGAAAACAUAGGGUACGGUAUGCAUGAUAGGUCAUCUAGUACCUAACCAUCUUGACAAAGAGACAAGAAGAAUCAUGAUGUUUACCCAUACCAUACGGUUUUGGAUAAUUGAUCAGGAACAAUUUAGCAUUGGGCUUCCAAUGUUCCUGUUGAAAUCUAAAGUACCACAUUCGUGCUUCGGGGAAGCAUCGACAUGGUCAUCAGAUAGAGGUUGGACUUAUGGGUAUACAAAGAGGAACUAGGAGGAACAACUUGCAAAGCUAAGUCAUACAAUUUCCUUAUGGUAAAAUGGCGAACCUUACAUAUGGAAGGAUUUAUAACAAUAGUUCAUGCGGCCCGGUGUGCCAAACAAGACAUCACCGCACCGGGUUACAUAAGACCAAAGUCAUAAAUAUUGGAAAAUGUUCCAAACAUCAUAUCUGCCUGAGGUUCAGAUCUGAUUGGGGUCAGGAUACCUCAGGCUCAAGAUGCAUGAGAAGAAAAAUGAAGACGCAAGAUUGUCAUGAUAUGAACUACACAAGCAAUUCUUGAAAUAUGAGUGUGCUGGUAAGGCACAUGAACACCAUGUCAAGACAUUCGUGCCCACGUGAAAUUCUUAUCUCAAAAUGCAACUGGGUUCUCAUUUGGGAACCAUCAUCGAGGAUGACAAGGUUCCAUGUGUAAGUCUGGAUCUGCUCUUAUGAAAGAACUUCUUUUCCUUGAUCAAAACAGUCGGUAGUUUGGCGUGCUGAGCAAGUUAUAUGAAGUGAGAAUAGCAAAUCAUCAAAACAUAUAACACUUCGCACGUGCAUGAAUGAUUUGGUAUUUCCCAAGAUUUUGACAGGGAUGAAUUUCCAAAGUUAUAAUAUCAAGGAGAUAGCAUUUGUCAAAUCAAAUGGUAUAAUGUCGUAUGCUCGAGGGAACAUCAACAAUUAAGCAUUGGUAAAAGGGUGCACUCAGAAAUACUGAGGGAGUAGCACGACCAAUGUUAAAAUGAUGAGUCAACACCCAACACACUAAGAAGGAAACAAUCAGUUAUUAACCUCAAGGUGAUAGGGUUGAUAAAAGUAUUGGAAUCACACAUGAGAGUUCACUUGUCGGUAUACCGGUUAGAAACAACUCGGGACCAAGAAAUCAAUGGUGAUGGGGAGAGGUAUUACUAUAUCAAGAAUUCUUAAGACGUGUGCAAUUCUCACGACAUCCUUGACAUAAAGAUGGUAAUACUCCAAGACAGAAGAUAAUCAUAAACUGGAAAGUGAGGAACACAAAGGACAACACAAAACAAGAACAAGUUUGUGUUGGAGAGAAGGCAAACAAGGAUGUCGAUGAUAAUGCAAACCAUCAAGGGUGCAAGGAUGGUAUUUCUCAUCAUGCAUUCGGUCGAUACCCUGCAAGAGCUCGGGAUGCUGAUGAUGACCACGACACCUUUGUCGAGAAGCUUCACGAAGAAGCAAUCGAUCGGGGACGACAUCAAGCAAUGGAAUGAUGAAGCAAGAGGUUGUCGGAAUCACAGAUAAGACUGCUAAUUUAGAAUUGAGAUCGCCUUUUAAGACAACCAACAUGGUGCUGAAAGAUUGCUGUAAGCUUAACAGCUUGGACUGACAUGAUCGAGUACAAACUCGUAAACAAAGAAGAUUGAUAAAAGUUGUUGAAUCGCAAUGCAUACUCGAUUCAGUUAUCGAUGUACUUGCGUGGCCAACAACUCAAACACGAGGCAACUGGAAUUAAGGGGGAAAAUCAUAGUUGAUGAGGAGCUCACAAGAAGUUUCAUAGCUCCGCGAUAUCCUCGAUCUACAAGGGAUAUUACUCGGAGGUCGAUCAACAUUAAAGCUCGGACCGAUGUAUUGAUCUGAAGAAGACAAGUACUUUAACUCGUCUGAGAAUAAAAUCAAGGUAGGACAACAUGGUCGGAACCACGAUUGCAAGGUACCAAAUAACAGAUACUAGAUCAAAUCAUAGAAUUAUUGAUUAUUGUUACGAGUAUUUUGUAUGAUAGGAUCAACAUCGUUUCCAUGGGCAUGAACACAAAGUUCAAGGUCGACUCCCACUUCAUCAAUGCAUCACCUGCCAUUUAUUCCUCGCCUUUGAUCAGGUUGCAACCUUAAAAGGAUAUUCGGCAAAGCGCCAGAAGAGUAAGACUCAUGAAAACUUUUCGAGUCAUCUUGAUUUAGGAAGGCAUAGGUUCAACCCGUCGGGGCAUCUUAGUAACAUAUACCAUACAGUCCAAGAGCAAUUAACACAUGCUUGAAGGGCAUGGCUGGCAAAAGCAUAGGGUACAACUAAUCAGAGGGAGAAGACACAAUUUACCAAUGACAUUAUGUAUCAGUGGAACACUAUCACAAGAAUUUUUGAAUGCAAAGGGAUGUCUUCGGUUAGUAACCCAGCAAUGGUCCUGGCAAUCCACAAAGGACGUGAUGUGAGUAUCGGUACUCAAUCAGAGGGGGUAAAAUGCAAGGCAUCGGAUUAUAGAACAUCUGAAAAAGGCUGAUAUUUAAUUACCAAAGGAAUUAGGAUUUCCAGGUUGGUGUAUCAUAUCAGAUGCUCCGAUCAACCACAAGUAAGUUGAAGGGACUUAGAUGGACAAUCAAUCAAAGUUGAUUUGUCGCGAACCAGUUCUAUCUGGAAGGACGUCUAAGCCGGAAGAUAAUUCAUAAGUAUCAACAAAUGAUUGUGCGUAUUCACACAAAAGUAGAAUCGAUAAGAUCAGAGGAAAUUCACAAAGGAAUUUAAUGAAUGCGGCUAGACAUAUGGAUUUAACCCUAACACAAGCAGGUGAAAAAGGUCAAAAGCAAUAGGCUACAGGGGAUUCCGAAAGAUCAAUUAGUAAUUCAAAGAACUCUCGAAACCCAAGACAACCAAUGAUGGACGAAUCCCCGAUAAGAAAAUUCAUUGCCUCUCGUAAAGUAAGAGCAAUUGGAGAAGAAGGUAUGAACGACAUUUGUAGGUAGUCAUCCAUAGUGGUCGACGGAGGAAGGGAAAUCGCAAGAGCGAUGGGCACAAGUUCUCGAGGUAACAUCAGGAAGUAACUUCGGAGUCUUGUGAUGGAUCAAGCCAUCGUCUGAAAUACGAGACUCCCCGGGAGGAAAUAUUUACGCGAACCUAAUGUUAGAGUUAGUAAAAUCUUUAACCCGAAAGAGAAGAGAGAGUAGAGCCCAGAGUAUAGGAAAGGAGUAAAAGAUACUAAUACCACCCAAUUGAGAUGUGGGCUCGUAAGCCACAACAUCAGUGUUAGUAAACUUUUUCAAACACUAGACUCAACUUCGGCCAACGAGUUGGAAAGGGGGCUACCUACAGGCAGUCGGCUCUGAUACCAACUUGUGACGGCCUUUAACCCGAAAGAGAAGAGAGAGUAGAGCCCAGAGUAUAGGAAAGGAGUAAAGGAUACUAAUACCACCCAAUUGAGAUGUGGGCUCGUAAGCCACAACAUCAGUGUUAGUAAAGUUUUUCAAACACUAGACUCAACUUCGGCCAAGGAGUUGGAAAGGGGGCUACCUACAGGCAGUCGGCUCUGAUACCAACUUGUGACGGCCUCGGUUUAAUCGUACGCUAAUCAUACACGCAAAUGCGUACAAUCAAACCCNNNNNNNNNNNNNNNNNNNNNNNNNNNNNNNNNNNNNNNNNNNNNNNNNNNNNNNNNNNNNNNNNNNNNNNNNNNNNNNNNNNNNNNNNNNNNNNNNNNNAUGAUGGCAUGGUGUAGCUCCUCAUCUUUCAACUUGAAAUGCGGCUUCAAGACCUUAACAUUAGUGGCACAAAUUAUGUCACCAUGCAUACUUGUAUUGGCUGAUAGCUUCCCAGGCCCCAUCUCUCAAUCUCUCACUAAAAGCACUGUCCAAGAUAAACAGAUAUGAGCACUAACCGCUCAAUUCAAUCAAACAGUUGGAAAAAUUGCCCGAUUCAAUUUUGUUUUCCAGGCAACAUGCAUAUCUAGCCCCAUAUAGUCUGUAGGGGUGGCUUACAUAGGCUAACGGAAGUAGCAGGUUGCUUCAAUUGCUGGAAUAAAACAAAUUUAACUAUCGUAACAUUGAAGUUGGAGGGCCGUUCGGUGAACUCCUAGUUGAUGCAUAUUUGCGUCAACUAGCGGUGGCUUAGUUGAAUUCAGGGCAAAUUGUUCAGCCAACUUUAUUUGUAUUUUUUCUCCUUGUAUUUUUUAGAAGGUAGAUACUUUUAAAACCUAUUAAAAAUAGAAAAAAAAUAUUUUUCGAAUAUUGUUCAGUAGGUGUUGCAUAUAAAAUUUCUGUUAUUAAAAAAAGAUCAUUGUAUAUUAAAAAAGUGUUCAUUGUGUCUUAAAAAAUGUUCAUUAAUAUCUGCUUGAGAAAGGUUCACCGUAUACUAACAAAUUUCAGUGUGUAUUUAAAAACAAUCUUCAUUAUGUAUUGGAGAAAAUUUUCUCCAUAUAUUGCAAAAAUAUAAAAAGGAAAGUGUGCAAAAUAAGAUAAGAAAAUAAAAAAAUGAAAUAGAAUAACAGUGACUUGCACCGGCUAUCCUGUAUGACAAAUCCUACCUAGGCUACACUCGCAGCAGAGCGAGAUGAGAUGCCCACUUCUGGUGUGUUUGAGCAUCUCUAGUAGAUCCCUUAUACCUUGCUAUUAUAAAACUAUUAUAAGGGGAACCUUAAAACUAGCGGCAGAUGUAGAAACAAUUUAUAUGUGCGACGGAUGUUACUAGUAUAUGUGGCUUGGCUCAAAUCUUGAAUUGAAGUGCUAUAUAGACCUAGUGGUNNNNNNNNNNNNNNNNNNNNNNNNNNNNNNNNNNNNNNNNNNNNNNNNNNNNNNNNNNNNNNNNNNNNNNNNNNNNNNNNNNNNNNNNNNNNNNNNNNNNUCCAGCCUGUAACACAUCACAUCUCUUUGCGGUGUCACGCACAGUUAACUCCACGGCUGCAGCCUUACCUUAGCCGGGACCGUUUGCGUCUUUUGACUCACGUAUGCAAUAGUGUCGCUAGCAUUCCAAUGUGAAAGAACCAAGAUCGACAAGUCUAGUCACAAACCAAAGUGGCAGUACCGCACAAGGACAGGCAUACAUGACCCAACAAAGCAGGUGUCGGUCACCAGCGAGUGUAGACGAGUCGUAGCAAGCUACAAGGACUCCAUUACAUCGCGUGACAUUUCCCCAAAGGGGACAGACACAACAGCUAAGAUGGACACAUGCCGGUCAACCAAUGUGUCCGGAGGAGUAGCGAACUACCAAGGCUCAUUGGAUCACAAAGGGGCAUUUCCUUGUAAAGAGUGCUACUAAAGUUCACGACUAGGUGAUCGAACCCCAUACAUAUCAAGUACGACACACGUAUGCAUGGCAUACCGAUAUGUAUAGAUACAUCGAUGGCAUCACAACAUAACCAUAAACAUACAAGCUUUAUUUAAGAGGCUCGGAAGAGCCACACACAUAAUAUUACACAUUAAGGGUCUCACGACCCAUAAUAGCAGUCGUUCAGUUACAAGCCAGCAGAAGAGUUUAAAAUUGUCUGAGUACAGACAGGUGCAACAAGAAGGCACAUGGCCUGACUAUACUACAGACCCAACCUAGGGCCAGAUCGUAGCUGGGACACCAGCUACUCGUCGUCGUCGAUGUCUAUGAAGAACCCUCCGUUAGGGUCAUUAGCAACCUCUGCAACAUUUAUUAAGCAAACAUGAGUACGAAGGUACUCAGCAAGACUAUAGGAUAACUAACUACUCAUGCAGUGUAUCAACAAGGUAUGGUGGGGUUUCAUGCGAAAAGCUAACAUUUGACUCGUGGCUAGACAACUUGCAUUUUUAAAUAAUUUUGACAACUUGAUUUCUCGCACACGAGUCCACUAAGACCACAACAAUACACCAUCGUGGAAUCAUUCCGUCUCCAUACGGAAAUGCCGUCCACGACACUCACGCUUAUCUUGACAAUUUUAUGAGUAGCCAUUGAAGUUUUCUAUGAACAACAUAUGUCUCCAAGUAGUCCAUAUCCGCGGGCGCGGCUAUUCGAAUAGAUCAUAACCCUGCAGGGGUGUACUUCGUCACACACGCUCUCGCCACUUAUCGCCAUGUGCACGUCAUGCACCUCGGCAACCUUCAAGCGGAAGCCUAGCGAGGGAGUCGGCCACGACCGUUAACCACACUAGUACCUAGUCCAGGUUUAUCGCCUAUCUGAGAGUAACCCGUACGGAAGUCCGGCCGGGGUUUCCGCCACGGCCUCAAACGAUGUGCGCAGGGUUCCCAAGCCCAUCAUCCGGGUGCCACUUGGUACACCGUGCCAAUGCCUACCGCAUCACAGCCCACCUCUCAGGUCAGCACCAUGCACGGCCUCCAGCAUGACUAUAAACACCAGAAACUACUUGCAACUCCUCGACCGAGUACUAAGCGAUUAAUAAGUCGAGAGGGUCAAUUAAGUAUCCCAACGUGUGGUAGUAUCUAGUCUUGGAUUACAUACACGGAACUCAGUUCCUAAGGACAGUUCCAAUGAAACAACCCGCCAUGUACUUCUACACAGCCUUUCACCGGUACCUUUACCAAAUCAGGUUUAGCACACAACCUUCUCUUACCGAACACAUUCUCACAAUUCUGUUCAUCUCCCAGAUGACAAACCAUACACAACUCUAAGCAUAGCAUGCAUAGCAGGAUAAGACACAUCAUGGCUCAAGCAACUACCAGGUAUGCUAGGUUGCAAGGUUCGGCUAUUUACCGUGACAAGGAUAGGUCAUGCAAAGGAAGUGGGUUCAACUAACGUGGCAAAAGCAGUUGAAGCACUUGAUCCUAAUGCAAUAAGUAAGUGCAGGAGCAAGAACAUGGGAUUUAUCGGGAUGAUCAAAAUGGUUGCUUGCCUUGUUGCUCAGAGGAGUGACAAUAUCCGUCAGACGGAUAUUCGGUGGAAUCCGGGGGAGCGGAGCCUACCGGAAGGAAUGACAACAAUCAAUAUCAAGCAUAUGCAAUCAAGAUGAUGCAUGAUCAUGGCAUGAGAAUGCAAGGUGAUAAACUAAUUUAGCUAACAUGUAUUAGGUUUGAAGUUGAUUUGAAUCAAAUUCAAAUAUCACUUCAAACGAGGUAUUCUCGGAUACCGAUUUAAUUGAUUCGACCUGAUGCUCAGAUCAACUUGAUGUUAACAUGCAUGGGAUGUCAUGUUAAGUUACUGGUUUGUAAUUAGAACAGUGUUUGGUCAUGUCAUUCAUAAUGAAAUUUAAAUAUUUUCCAAAUUCCAUUUAAAAAGUAUUUAUAAGAAUUGACUUAUUCAUUAAUCUACAUGUUUGGGUUCUGUAACUUUUUCAAACAUGAUUGAAAACAGCAUAUUCAGAUUCCUUGAUUUUUUCUGAUACUUUUUCAUAUAUAAAUUAUUUUCAUUGGAGUUACAGAUUAAUUUCUAUGAAUUUUUGAAGUUCUAAACAUUUCUAGAAUUAUUUCUAUACUGGAAAAUCUCUUUAUUGCGUCAGCCUGACAUCAGCAGGUCAGCCGACCUGUUCAGGUCAAACCUGACAGGGGGGACCCACUGGUCAGCCUCUGAGGGGUUAAUCCCGCGCUGACCAGCCCCUUAACUGAGUUGACUUGGCCUUGGGCCCACUGUCAGCGAGAGUUUAAGCGUUUAAACUACUGGAUUAGCUUGGCCACGUUGGCCCUCGCCGGAGCCUGGCCGGCGGCGACCAAAUCCGCGGCAGAACCUCACCGGAGACAUGCUGGAACGUGCUGUGGUGCUCGGAACAAGAUGCUGAGAGCACUGGAGUGAUCUCCAGGCUCGACCACAUCCACUGCUGGCCUCAGGGAGGGCUAUAGGUGGCCGGAGUAAGCCGGCGACGAGCCGGGGCGGCGGCCGGAGUAUGGGUUCGAUGGUCCAGUGGCUAGGGGGCUCGGAUCCGAGGGGGAAGAGAGGGGAAAUGACCGCAUGCUCACGGGGAAUGCAGAGCAGGGCUUAGACGGCUCGGGGAAGGGCUGUUGCCGGUGUUCCACCGUCGAUUUGCCGGCGACCGAAGGUUGAAGACGAUGGCGUUGUGGGCAUUGCAGAGCUCGGGGAGACUUCGGCCGUUGCAGAGAGAACCAACUCGACGAGGCGAAGCUGCUGGACUACUCGAAGGGAGGUUCCUGUGGCUAGAGGCGCGGCGGCUCGAGCUCGAGCUCGUGGAAAUGGCGGCAGAAGGAGGGAGGAGAGAUCCGAGAGGAGGGGGGAACUGGCGCUGGGGAAUGGAUAGGGAUGGCCUCGGGGGGGAUAUCCCCGUUGUCGCGCUUUCCUGGGGGCUCUGGAGCUCGCCACGGCGAAGCAGGAGGUGGAGGGGGCCGCCGUGGUCGAUCUCCCCUCUGCGAGAAGGCAGAGGAAGAAGACGACCGUGCCCCUGGUGGGCUGGGCCUCCUCGGGCGACAGGUAAGGGUUUUCUCAUUCUUUCUCUUUUGUUUUUUUUUGAUUUGUUUCUAUUUUGCUAUUUUAUUAGCUUGCUAUUUAUUUCAGCUCCCAAAUAGUUUGUAAAAACUAUUUUAAACACACCAGAAUAUUUGUUGAAAUAUUUCCAACCAUUCCCAAAGUUUUCAAUAUUUUUGAAAGUUUAAAGUUUCUGAUUUCAAAUUUAAAACUUGAAACCAGUAGCUUUUUGCAUUUAUUUAAAAUGCUUAAAGUGUCAAGAAAAUGGUUUUCUUCAUUGCUCAUUUACUUUCAUGAUUUAUCAGAAAGAUUGAACUUUUCUUGAGGCCAUUUUGGGUUCAUUGAUUUUAACUAGUUUGAAUUUUCCCUCAUUUUGAGAAGUGGCUAGGGUUUUAGCAUUUUCCUACAUCAUUUGCUUUGUUCUUGUUGAGAAAUUCCUAGAUGCAAUGCAAAGAAAACAUGAGCACAAGCUAACUUGCUUAAGGUGCGAGGGAUGUGACAACUCACCCCCAGUCAAAAGAAUCUCGUCCCGAGAUUUAGAAGUCGCGGGGAAUAACGCAGGAUAUUCAAGUCGGAGAUGAUCCUCUCUUUCCCAAGUUGCCUCCUUUUCAGAAUGAUUUGACCAUUGAACUUUAAGAAACUUGAGGUUUCGACGUCGAGUGGUACGCUCAGCUUGAUCAAGAAUACGCACGGGGUAUUCUCGGUAUGAAAGGUUAUCUUGGAGAUCAAGCGUGUCGUGGUCCACUUCACGGAUAGGUUCUGAAAAGCAACGCCUGAGUUGCGAGACGUGGAAGACAUCAUGAACCUUGGAAAGAUGCGGAGGAAGUUCCAACUGGUAGGCAACUUCUCCUCGUUUGGCAAGAAUGCGAAAAGGACCAAUGUAAUGAGGAGCCAACUUGCCCUUGAUACCGAAUCGAUGGGUACCCUUCAAAGGUGUAACCCGAAGGUAAGCCUUCUCGUCAACUUCAAAGGUCAUAGCCUUAUGAUGACGAUCAUAUUGGCUCUUUUGACGAGACUGGGCUGUUUUCAACUUUUCACGAAUAAUGUGAACCUGCUCUUCUGCAUCCUGGAUCAUAUCCGGGCCAAAGAGUUGCCUCUCUCCUGUUUCUGACCAAUUAAGAGGUGUUCGACAUCUUCGUCCAUAGAGAACUUCAAAAGGAGCUUUGCCCAAGCUUGAUUGAUAACUAUUGUUAUAAGCGAAUUCGGCGAAUGGAAGGCACUUCUCCCAAUUCAUACCGAACGAUAUAACACAGGCUCGGAGCAUAUCUUCUAGGAUUUGAUUCACUCUUUCUACUUGACCACUUGAUUGGGGAUGGAAAGCAGUGCUAAAAGAUAGGUGAGUCCCCAUGGCAUUCUGAAAACUUUCCCAGAAGCGAGAAGUAAAGAUACUCCCAUGGUCCGAUUUAAUCUCCAGGGGAACACCAUGAAGAGACACUAUUCGGGAGAUAUAUAACUCUGCUAGCUGGCUAGCUGUUAUACUCUCACGAACAGGAAGAAAAUGAGCCACUUUGGAAAGACGGUCAAUUACCACAAAGAUAGCAUUAUUUCCUUUCUUGGUCUUGGGAAAUCCGGUAAUGAAAUCCAUGCUAACUUUAUCCCAUUUCCAUUCAGGAAUAGCUAGAGGUUGAAGGGUGCCAGCAGGACUUUGAUGUUCUGCCUUAACUCGACGACAAACGUCGCAGUUAGCAACAAACUCAGUAAUUUCUCUCUUCAUCCUAGUCCACCAGAACCUCUGGCGUAGGUCCUGAUACAUCUUAGUACUACCGGGAUGAAUGGUGAGAGGAGAAUCAUGAGCCUCCUUAAGGAUCAAUUGCCGCAGACGUUUGCUCUUAGGAACCACUAAACAGUUCUGAAAGAACACAACACCUUUCUCAUUGAUGGAGAAAUCCCUAGCGUUGCCACUAGCAAUCUUCUCCUUGAUCCGGGAUAUACCCUUAUCAUAAGCCUGCACGGCUAUGAUUUGAUCCUUAAGAGUAGGCUUCGCCACCAGGGUAGAAAGGAAUCCUUGAGGAACAAUAUGAUGAUUCAUCUUCCGAAAUUCCUCAUAGAGAUGAGGUUGACCUUGUUGUAGCAUCAAAUUGUUACAAUAAGAUUUACGACUUAGUGCAUUGGCCAUAACAUUGGCCGUCCCCGGGGUGUAAGUUAUCCCUAAGUCGUAAUCAGAGAUCAACUCAACCCACCGUCUUUGCCUGAGAUUCAAAUCCGGCUGGGUGAAAAUAUAUUUCAGACUUUGGUGAUCAGUGAAUAUUUCGCAAUGAUUACCCAGAAGGUAAUGUCGCCAGGUUUUUAGUGCAUGGACCAUAGCUGCAAGCUCAAGGUCAUGUGUGGGAUAAUUAUCCUCAUGUGGACGCAACUGUCGAGAUGCGUAUGCGAUCACAUGACGAUCUUGCAUGAGAAUGCAACCUAAUCCUUGUCGCGAGGCGUCGCAAUAGAUAACAAAGUCCUUAGAAAAAUCUUGUGGUAACAACACAGGUGCAGAAGUCAGGCGUCUUUUCAGUUCCUGAAAACUAUGCUCACACUGUGGUGUCCACUCGAACUUUUUAUCCUUCUUGAGGAGUUUAGUUAGAGGCUUUGCAACCUUGGCGAAAUUCUCGACAAAGCGGCGACAAUAGCUCGCUAGACCAAGAAAACUCCUAACUUGCUUAACCGAUUCAGGUUGAGUCCAAUCAAGGAUAGCUUGAACUCUCUCGGGAUUGACAGCAAUACCCUUCCCAGAGAUUACGUGACCUAGAUAGGUCACUUCUGGCAACCAGAAUUCACAUUUUGAAAACUUGGCAUAAAGGCGAUGCUCUCGAAAUUUCAUCAAUACCAGCCUUAGAUGCUUGGCAUGUUCUCUUUCGUUCUUCGAGUAGAUGAGAAUAUCAUCGAGGUAUACCACGACGAAUUUAUCCAAAUACUCCAUGAAGAUUGAAUUCAUCAGACGAGAGAAGGUGGCUGGGGCAUUGGUUAAACCGACAGACAUGACGGUGUACUCGUAUUGGCCAUAACGAGUAACAAAAGCCGUUUUUGGAAUUUCCCCAUUCUUGAUCUUGAUUUGAUAGUAUCCCAACCUCAAAUCCAUUUUGGAGAAGACUGAGGAUCCAGCGAGCUGAUCGUACAUGUCGUUGAUCCUGGGGAGCGGAUACUUGUUCUUUAUGGUGACCAGAUUAACUGGUCGGUAAUCUACAACCAUCCGAUCCGUUUCGUCUUUCUUCUUGACGAAGAGGACGGGGCAAGCCCAAGGAGAGGAGCUAGGACGAAUGAAACCUUUGUUCAAGGCCUCAUCUAAUUGCUUCUUAAGUUCGGCUAGCUCCAGGGGUGCCAUCUUAUAAGGUCUUCUGGCUAUUGGGACAGUUCCUGGAACAAGAUCUAUCACGAACUCUACAUCACUGUCAGGUGGAAUUCCUGGCAGUUCCUCUGGAAAAACAUCCGGGAAGUCACGGACUACCGGAAUGUCUUCAAGUUCCGGAAGAGGGUUGGCAUUUGGCAACUCGAGUAGAGACAUUUACUAUCUCACCCGAGGGAUGGGUAAGCUGGACAUUUCUAGAAUGAGUAUCAAUNNNNNNNNNNNNNNNNNNNNNNNNNNNNNNNNNNNNNNNNNNNNNNNNNNNNNNNNNNNNNNNNNNNNNNNNNNNNNNNNNNNNNNNNNNNNNNNNNNNNUUUCUUGUGUUUUUACAGAAAACAACUAUCUUUUAUGCUAAUUAACCCACAGUCUCUAUAGAACAAAUGCUUCUUUUAAUAUUCAUAUCUUUUAAAUCAUAACUCCUAUUUUAACAUGUUAUAUAUAAAUUUUGAUUAAAAAAUGUGAGAAAUCAGAAAAUGAUGUUAUUUUUUACUUCUUAACCAUUUUAAAAAAUGCUAUUUAGAGUGCAACCUUAAUCAAUAGCACACAAGAGAAAAAACGCCUCAUCCAUCUGACACGUGUCUCACCAAUCUGCACAUAUGCUUCUUUCUUAUCCUUUCAUCCCGGGAAACAACACCAACCACAUAUGUUUCUGCAGAAGCAACUAGGCGGGGUGGCCUCGGCUUGUCGUGAGCCAGGAUCGAUGGUCGGCCGACGCGGACCACCGUUGCAGUCGGCGGUUGGGUAAGGUCGCCUACCUCCACCACACGCGAUGCGUCCACCUUGUUGGAGCCGAGGAUGGCGGUGAGGCAACCAAGUCGGACGUCCAGUGCUCCGGAGGCAGAGCGAUGACAGUGACGGAUAGCGCCUCCCCUCCCAGCACCGUUUGUGGAGCUCGCGGUGAAUGAUAGUGGGGUUUUCCUACAACAUCCUCCUUGUUGCAAGAAAAAAUUCUACAACAUUAGUUACGUUGGAAAAAAAUUGCUUCCUCCGCCCCCACUCUUGCAUGCAGUUGUACAUAUGGGCCAUCAAUUUUUGCUUCUUUUUCUAUCAUUUUUACCUUCUUUUUAUUUUCUCUUGUCGCAUUUCUUUUCCUAAUCUACUUUUUUUCUUGUUUACUUUUAAAUAUGCUUUAUGAGUUUGUUUUUAAAUUUUGAACAUUUUUUAUUCAUCAUUUUCAAAAAUAAUUCAACAAUGCAAAAAAAUAUUCAUCGAAUUCUAAUUUUCUUCAUUGGAUUAAAAAAUAUUCAUAAAAUAAAAAUCUUUACAUGCAAUUCAAAAUAUGUUCAUCAAAUGAAAAUAUAGUUAAUUUUAUUUUCUGCUUUUAAUUUUGGAAAAACCUUUCAAAUUCCUGAAUAUCAUUUUAAAUUUUGAACAGUUUUUGUAAACAUAAAUAUUUUUCUGAAGUUUUUGCUAAUAGGUANNNNNNNNNNNNNNNNNNNNNNNNNNNNNNNNNNNNNNNNNNNNNNNNNNNNNNNNNNNNNNNNNNNNNNNNNNNNNNNNNNNNNNNNNNNNNNNNNNNNAGUACUCAUCCAAAGUACUCGCAAGUCUUACAUCAGAACUAUUCUAAAUAUGCAUCAGUAUCAAAGAAGGGGGGUUAUAUGUGGACUGACUGCAGCAAUGCGAGAAUAAAGAGAGAAUGCCUAGUCCUUUCGAAGACUAGCAUCUUCAGGGUCUUGCAGCAAUAGACGAGGGUAGAACAGGGGGUAAAACAAUAAUAGUCAUAUUGUUGUAGCAAUAUUAAAGUGAGGUCAUGCCUAAAGAUCCUCCCUCGACUCCCUGCGAGGAAGCAAUCCCGAGGCAAACUAAUUCCAGUUAAGUAACAAUUGUAGUUGUAUAAGAUCAGGGCACAACUCCAAGUCGUCCUGUAACCGUGGACACGGCUAUUCGAAUAGUUAAUUUUCAUCCCUGCAGGGGUGCACCACAUGUCCCGUCACGCUCGAUAACACUCUGGCCGGACAUACUUUUAUGGGUCCUGCCCGGCCUCGGAAUAUCGACACGUCGCAGCCCCACCAAAGACUAAUCAGAGAGGUCAGCCCGCCGGUCUAAAUCCUAAGGGCAAAGGGUUCAUGGGCCCAGUUCCCCUCCGCGCUCCUGCAUGAUGCGAGGGCGGCGGAUGUUAGUCCUACCAUCCCUUAAUCACAAGCGCAAUGCAUCUCGCGACCACUCGGGCGCGCGCCACUACGAUUGCUGACAUCUGAAAAGCUUCGGCUGAUACCGCGACGCCGAGUACCCAUAAUUCUUCCCGCGUGGCCGGUUUGUGCGAAAAGGUCUCCGACCAACCCAAAUCAAAUACCCAAAUCCAUUAACAUUUUUAAUUAGGCCAACAACACAGUCUCACGAGAAUCCACCCGUCUUACUACUAAUCACCAAAGAUCCCAGUAACAUGGUCGAGUAACUGUGUGGUUGUAACAUCGGGGGGGAAUCCGAGGUAUCACCCUCGUUGGAUUUCGAACGAUGUACCCGUCAAGGUGGGCUUAGAGGAAUCACCCUCGGGGGUCCCACACUUGAGGGGUUGCACGACAGAGGCGUCAUCGGGAAUGGUGAAAGAGGAAUCACCCUCGAUAACCAAGACCGACUAGCUAUACUAAAGAGAUAUCAUCAGGAGUACUUAGCGAGGUGUCACCCUCGGUACCCGAUAGUAUCUCUAUAGCGUCGUACAACGAAGGUGGUGUAUGUGUUGUGUCGGGUCUGGCUCGUCGAUCAGGGAUCGAGAUUUGAAAACAAGCGGAGCAACUGGACUACGGGGUCAGAGGGGAUGACUGCUCCACCUAUACUAAGCAGAUUUAAAGUACAGGACUGAAAGUAGCAGUUCAUUAAAAAAAUAGGCUAUGCAUUAGAUAUAGGAGCUAACUACAAAAGUAGCAAAAUACUAAUGCAAACAGUAGGAAGAAAGACAUAGGCGAUAUAGGAAUGAUCAAGGGGGGAUGCUUGCCUUGCUGCUCUGCGGCAAAGGACUGAUCGGCAGGGUCGUAGAUGUACCUGGCAGCAGCGUCAGUCUCGGGGUCUACCGGUAAGAAGAGGGGGAAGAAACAAUAAAUAAUAGCAACGGUGUAACACAAAGCAUGACAUGGCAAGAUGCACGGUAGACAUGAGCUAACGCAGCAGCAUCCGUCAUAGACGGGUCGGAAGAAUAUCAGACGAUAUUUUCCGGGUCUCGGGCUAUUACCGGUCAUACUGGAAUGAUGGAAAAGUUCCAUGUUUGCUAUGCUAGGGACGCGUGACAGACGAAUGGACCGUGUAUCCGGAUCCGUCUCGUUCUACUGAUCAACUUUCAUGUUGAAAAUAUGUCACAUCCCUGGCACCUUAAGCAAGUUAGCUUGUGCUCAUGUUUUCUUUGCAUUGCAUCUAGGAAUUUCUCAACAAGAACAAAGCAAAUGAUGAAGGAAAAUGCUAAAACCCUAGCCACUCCUCAAAGUGAGGGAAAAUUCAAACUAGUCAAAAUCAAUGAACCCAAAAUGGCCUCAAGAAAAGUUCAAUCUUUCUGACAAAUCAUGAAAGUAAAUGAGCAAUGAAGAAAACCAUUUUCUUGACAUUUUAAGCAUUUUAAACUAAUGCAAAAAGCUACUGGUUUCAAGUUUUAAAUUUGAAAUCAGAAACUUUAAACUUUUAAAAAUAUUGAAAACUUUGGGAAUGGUUGGAAAUAUUUCAACAAAUAUUCUGUUGUGUUUAAAAUAGUUUUUACAAACUUUUGGGAGCUGAAAUAAAUAGCAACUUAAUAAAAUAGCAAAACAGAAAUAAAUAAAUAAAAAUAAAAGAGAAAGAAUGAGAAAACCCUUAUUUGUCGCCUCAGGAGGCCCAGCCCACCAGGGGCAGGGUCGUCUUCUUCCUCUGCCUUCUCGCAGAGGGGAGAUCGACCACGGCGGCCCCCUCCACCUCCUGCUUUGCCGUGGCGAGCUCCAGAGCCCCCCAGGACAGCGCGACAAUGGGGAUAUCCCCCCCGAGGCCGUCCCUAUCCAUUCCCCAGCGCCAGUUCCCCCCUCCUCUCGGAUCUCUCCUCCCUCCUUCUGCCGCCAUUGCCACGAGCUCGAGCUCGAGCCGCCGCGCCUCUAGCCACAGGAACCUCCCUUCGAGUAGUCCAGCAGCUUCGCCUCGUCGAGCUGGUUCUCUCUGCAACGGCCGAAGUCUCCCCGAGCUCUGCAACGCCCCCAACGCCAUCGUCUUCAACCUUCGGUCGCCGGCAAAUCGACGGUGGAACACCAGCAACAGCCCUUCCACGAGCCGUCUAAGCCCUGCUCUGCAUGCCCCGUGAGCAUGCGGUCAUUUCCCCUCUCUUCCCCCUCGGAUUCGAGCCCCCUAGCCACUGGACCAUCGAACCCGUACUCCGGCCACCGCCCCGGCUCGUCGUCGGCUUACUCCGGCCAACUAUAGCCCUCCCUGAGGCCAGCAGUGGAUGUGGUCGAGCCUGGAGAUCACUCCAGUGCUCUCAACAUCUUGUUCCGAGCACCACAGCACGUUCCAGCAUGUCUCCGGCCAGGUUCUGCCGCGGAUAUGUCGCCGCAGGCCAGGCUCCGGCGAGGGCCAACGUGGCCAAGCUAAUCCAGUAGUUUAAACGCUUAAACUCUCGCUGACAGUGGGCCCAAGGCCAAGUCAACUCAGUUAAGGGGAUGGUCAGCGCGGGAUUAACCCCUGAGAGGCUGACCAGUGGGUCCCCCCUGUCAGGUUUUGACCUGAACAGGUCGGCUGACCUGCUGAUGUCAGGCUGACGCAAUAAAGAGAUUUUCCAGUAUAGAAAUAAUUCUAGAAAUGUUUAGAACUUCAAAAAUUCAUAGAAAUUAAUCUGUAACUCCAAUGAAAAUAAUUUAUAUAUGAAAAAGUAUGAGAAAAAUUCAAGGAAUCUGAAUAUGCUAUUUUCAAUCAUGUUUGAAAAAGUUACAGAACCCAAACAUGUAGAUUAAUGAAUAAGUCAAUUCUUAUAAAUACUUUUUAAAUGGAAUUUGGAAAAUAUUUAAAUUUCAUUAUGAAUGACAUGAUCAAACACUGUUCUAAUUACAAACCAGUAACUUAACAUGACAUCCCAUGCAUGUUAACAUCAAGUUGAUCUGAGCAUCAGGUCGAAUCAAUUAAAUCGGUAUCCGAGAAUACCUCGUUUGAAGUGAUAUUUGAAUUUGAUUCAAAUCAACUUCAAACCUAAUACAUGUUAGCUAAAUUAGUUUAUCACCUUGCAUUCUCAUGCCAUGAUCAUGCAUCAUCUUGAUUGCAUAUGCUUGAUAUUGAUUGUUGUCAUUCCUUCCGGUAGGCUCCGCUCCCCCCGGGUUCCACCGAAUAUCCGUCUGACGGAUAUUGUCACUCCUGUGAGGAACAAGGCAAGCAACCAUUUUGAUCAUCCCGAUAAAUCCCAUGUUCUUGCUCCUGCACUUACUUAUUGCAUUAGGAUCAAAUGCUUCAACUGCUUUUGCCACGUUAGUUGAACCCACUUCCUUUGCAUGACCUACCCUUGUCACAGUAAAUAGCCGAACCUUGCAACCUAGCAUACCUGGUAGUUGCUUGAGCCAUGAUGUGUCUUAUCCUGCUAUGCAUGCUAUGCUUAGAGUUGUGUAUGGUCUAUCAUCUAGGAGAUGAACAGAAUUGUGAGAAUGUGUUCGGUAAGCAAAGGUUGUGUGUUAAACCUGAUUUGGUAAGGGUACCGGUGAAAGGCUGUGUAGGAGUACAUGGCGGGUUGUUUCAUUGGAACCGUCCUUAGGAACUGAGUUCCGUGUAUGUAAUCCAAGACUAGAUACUACCACACUUUGGGAUACUUAAUUGACCCUCUCGACUUAUUAAUCGCUUAGUACUCGGUCCAGGAGUUGUAAGUAGUUUCUGGUGUUUAUAGUCAUGCUGGAGGCCGUGCAUGGUGCUGACCUAAGAGGUGGGCUGUGAUGCGGUAGGCAUUGGCAUGGUGUACCAAGUGGCACCCGGAUGGUGGGCUUGGGAACCCUGCACACAUCGUUUGAGGCCGUGGCGGAAACCCCGGCCGGACUUCCGUACGGGUUACUCUCAGAUAGGCGAUAAACCUGGACUAGGUACUAGUGUGGUUAACGGUCGUGGCCGACUCCCUCGCUAGGCUUCCGCUUGAAGGUUGCCGAGGUGCAUGACGUGCACAUGGCGAUAAGUGGCGAGAGCGUGUGUGACGAAGUACACCCCUGCAGGGUUAUGAUCUAUUCGAAUAGCCGCGUCCGCGGAUAUGGACUACUUGGAGACAUAUGUUGUUCAUAGAUAACUUCAAUCGCUACUCAUAAAAUUGUCAAGAUAAGCGUGAGUGUCGUGGACGGCAUUUCCGUAUGGAGACGGAAUGAUUCCACGAUGGUGUAUUUUUGUGGUGUUAGUGGACUCGUGUGCGAGAAAUCAAGUUGUCAAAAUUAUUUAAAAAUGCAAGUUGUCUAGCCACGAGUCAAAUGCUGGCUUUCCGCAUGAAACCCCACCAUACCUUGUUGAUACAUUGCAUGAGUAGUUAGUUAUCCUAAAGUCUUGCUGAGUACCUUCGUACUCAUGUUUGCUUAAUAAAUGUUGCAGAGGUUGCUAAUGACCCUAACGGAGGGUUCUUCGUAGACAUCGACGACGACGAGUAGUUGGUGUCCCAGCUACGAUCUGGCCCUAGGUUGGGUAUGUAGUAUAGUCAGGCCAUGCGCCUUCUAGUUGCACCUGUCUAUACACAGACAGUUUUAAACUCUUCCGCUGGCUUGUAACUGAAUGACUGCUAUUAUGGGUCGUGAGACCCUUAAUGUGUAAUAUUAUGUGUGUGGCUCUUCCGAGCCUCUUAAAUAAAGCUUGUAUGUUUAUGGUUAUGUUGUGAUGCCAUCGAUGUAUCUAUACAUAUCGGUAUGCCAUGCGUACGUGUGUCGUACUUGAUAUGUAUGGGGUUCGAUCACCUAGUCGUGAACUUUAGUAGCACUCCUUACAAGGAAAUGCCCCUUUGUGAUCCAAUGAGCCUUGGUAGUUCGCUACUCCUCCGGACACAUUGGUUGACCGGCAUGUGUCCAUCUUAGCUGUUGUGUCCGUCCCCUUUGGGGAAAUGUCACGCGAUGUAAUGGAGUCCUUGUAGCUUGCUACGACUCUUCUACACUCGCUGGUGACCGACACCUGCUUUGUUGGGUCAUGUAUGACUGUCCUUGUGCGGUACUGCCACUUUGGUUUCUCACUAGACUUGUCGAUCCGGGUUCUUUGACAUUGGAAUGCUAGCGAUACUAUUGCAUACGUGAGUCAAAAGACGCAAACGGUCCCGGCUAAGGUAAGGCUGCAGCCGUGGAGUUAACCGUGCGUGAGACCGCAAAGAGAUGCGAUGUGUUACAGGCUGGAUUCCUAUGACUUAGGAUCGGGGUCCCGACNNNNNNNNNNNNNNNNNNNNNNNNNNNNNNNNNNNNNNNNNNNNNNNNNNNNNNNNNNNNNNNNNNNNNNNNNNNNNNNNNNNNNNNNNNNNNNNNNNNNAUGGGGGGAACGCGAUGGUGGGAGGAGCCCAAGGAGGGGCUCACCAACGUUGAUGAGACGGCAUGGUGAAGCCGGAGUUCGCGGGAAGGCGAAGGUGACGGUGGUGAUGGCGCGGUGAUGACGGUGGUGCCGGUGGUGAUGGUGCCGGCGAGGUGGGUCACCGGAGAAAACCUCCCGGAGGUCGGGGCCGGCCGGAUGGCCGACGUGCUCAGGAGAAGGGGGGUCUCCCUGCCCGGUCCCUCCUGGACCGAGCGGGAGGAAAGGGGACGGCGCGACGGGGUGACCAGGAGGGGCCUCGGCCGACGGUGAGGGAGAGGAGAGGGAGGCCGGUGGGGGAGGUGGAUCUGAGGGGAGGGAGCCCGGUCGUGGGUGCUUCUGAGAUCGACCGGCGGGAGGAUCAGGGAGGCUCGGGGCGAGGCGGUGGCUGCCGGCGGGAGGGAGGCCGAUGGGAGGAUCCUCGGUUGGGAGGGGGUUCUGGUGCGGGGGGCCUCGGGAGGGAGCCCAGCGAGGGGGAGAUCUGGGAAGAGAGAGAGUACCAAGAGAGGGGGGCAGUUGUCGUGGGGAAAGAGGGGUCUCGCGGUGGGGGGUAGUGGGGGCUCUCGGUAGAGAGCAAGAGAGGAGGGAGCCGCGAGGGGGGGUAGGCUCUCGGGGGUGGGUGGUUGCGCUCGAGGGAAGGAUUGGUAGGUGGGACGAGCGGGGGAGGUCUGUCGGUGGAAGGCUGGGUGGCGGCGGCGGCCAGGGGAUGUGGAGUACGCUGGGAGGGGAGGUUAGGUGGCGAGGUGGGCACUAGGGUUGCCCCGGUUGGGCCGGUGGGUGGAGGCCAACUUGGCCACCACGCCAAGUUGGGUCGGGGGGGUUUGGUCUUCUUUUCUUUCUUUCUUUUUUCCUUUGUUGUUUCUUUUUCUUUAUUUGUAUUUCAUUUCAGUUUUAUUUUACCCUUUUUCUUAUUUCUUUAUAUACAUAUUUUUCUGCAUUCUAGUUUAGAAAAUAUAUUAACCAUUAUUAUCUGCUACAACUCAAAUAUUUUUUUUAUUUCUUUACAUUUGAAAAUUUAAUUCGUUUGUCUUUAAAUUAGAUACGAUAACUGCUUUGAUUUUUAUUAAGUGACAACCUAGCUUAGUUAAAUAUGAUGACCUAGCAUCAUUAGGGUGCAGUUACUGUAGCUUAACUACCGGGGUGUCACAAUAGUAGGUAUAGAUAUUUUAUUCCACUAACUUAUUGACACAUACCACUCCAUAUAUUCAAAACUACAUGAUUGAACAUAACAAGUUUCCGUUCAUUAAUUGUAUGUUUCUAGCAUCCCCAUAAAUGUACGCAUGAAAAAAUAUGAAUGAGAUUGGUGUGACCUCUUUGGCAUACUACCAAUUAAUCUAUUACUUCAUUUGGGUGUUGAGUUAAUUUAGGACCAUCUCUUGUAUAGCGUCGUAACAUGAUAGACAUAUAGUACCUACCGAUCGCAGGAUGAUAUUUCAUUUAUUAACCAGCACUUGUUUGUUGUAUUACAUACGUGCAUGUAAGGGGCUGGCUAGAAACCUCACAUGUAUGGUUAGGUGAUGGGGCCAAUUAUUUAUGACCUUACAAUACUGAAAAUAAUAAUGAAAAAAUGUGACAUCCAAGAAAGUACACUUAGACGCAUAGAUUAUUCUCGCGUACAUAAAACCAAAACAAUAUUAAUGUGUACAUCGUCAUCAACAUCUAAACAAAAAACAUAUAAUCUAAGCAUAAGACAACCAAGAUGCUUAACCUUUUCUUUCGUGGUAACCAAAAUGUUUCGGAUCAAUUAUUAACACUGACUCAUGCCACUCUUUCAGUCGAUACCUUAUGUUUUCUUAUCUUUUUAGUAGAUUUUUGCUUUCAUCCUUUUCAUGGUAUAAAUAUUAUAUUUUUCGCUCGAUCUCAUUUGUACAAUUGCAUGUUAAUGACUAUCUGCUAAAAGGAAAACCAAAAAUUCAGUACUGAUUUCUGUUUAUUACGAGGUGAGUUACUAUUUCAUUUUUACGUCUGUAACUUAGGCCUAUAUUUUUAACCGUGUUAUAUAUUUUGAUGCUUCUCAUGGUACAUUGAUGAUCUUGUUAGUUUUUAAAUAUGCUUCACAUGACUUAAUAAAAAUCUAUCACUUUUCGAAUAAGUAGUUACAAAUAGCUACGGCUUCCCGUUAGUGACUAGCCGUUAGUGACUAGUUCGUGCAUUUUAAAUGCGUUUAUGAGAAGGAGGGUUCAUAUGUGAGGAUGAUGUGCAUAAAUAGUCAACCCUGUUACAGUUGAAAGUUAAUUAAGAUGGAUUUAAUGACUAGCAGGGUCACAUGUGAGUCUAAGAAGUUACAAUAGAAAUAAACAGAAUAUUACCUUUCAUAAAAUGUUAUAAACUUUGAAAAUUCCAAUGAAUCUGUUUAUGGCUUUUCGGAAAAUCAUAGAAAUUAAAACGUAACUCACAUGAAAUUAAAUUAUACAUGAAGAAUUAACAUAAUAUUCCAAUGAAUCUGUUUAUGGCAUUUUCAGGCAUUUUAGAACAACAUAUGUCCUCUUUUUAGGACAUUCAAAUAAAUGUCAUUUAAAUAAUCAUAGUUUGACUUUGAACCUUUGGUUCGAACCAACUUCAUUUAAUCUUGUCGUUAGAUGCAUUAGCACAAACAAUAUCAUAUUGCCAUGUCACGUUCAUACAUCAUAGUGUUGCAUUUCCGUGAAGUAAAUUUUGUUCUUUUUCUGUUUGCCGGCGUUGUUCCCUGUUGGUAGAUGAUGGUUCCGACAUUGUGAUUGUUGACACUAUUGAAGACUCAUGGUUAUCUUCGGAACUGUCAAGCAAGCAACCCCCUUGAACAUUUCGAUACAAUCACACUCUCUCGCUCUUCCUCUCAUUUCAAUGCAUUAGGACAACAUGAUUCAACUGUUGGUUAUUUACAUUUUUGUAGAGAUAGACGUUGUUUAGUUUAUGUUUUCAUAUUGAUGUUGACAUCGAAGGAUUAGCUUUGUAACCCAGAUAGUGGUCUGGCUCCUUUGGUUGGGUUGUUGUAGCUUUCCAGGCUCUUCCAUCCAUUUAUAGUAGAUUUAUAUACCCACACAUGUAACUUCUGCUUGAUGUUUGUAUCGUCUAAAUGUUGGGCCAUGUGACCCCUCCUUGUAACAUUAUACUUCAUUGGCUCUUCGGAGCUUUCUAAAUAUAUAUUGUGUUGUACAGUUAUGUUAUGAUGUCAUGUUGUAUCUACACAUAUCUUGCAUAUUGCGUGUAUAUCUGAAAUGAAUUGGUUGUGUGGAAAUUAGCUGUAGCAUAAAAUGCCUCCUUGUGCUUCCACUUAGUCGUGGAAUUUAGUUGAACUAUCUUUUCUGUGGCUCUAUGGCCUGGAAUCUUGGGAAGAUAAUCUCUUCCUAGUCUCCAAAAGUGACUUGUCAUUCUCAAAUGCAUCCCAAUAUCAUUUCAUUUCCAUCUUAUCCCAUAGCCAAAUUCUUUUUGGUGGUAAUAUUCCUUUUUCUAAUAAAGGAAUAAAUCCUAUUUACUCUUAGUUUUGAAGCAAACAAUAUUUUUGUCUCUCCCAAAUUCCCAAAUAAUUCUCCUAAAUUGUUUGGGUCAUAUAUUCCUCAAGUAUGUCAAAAUAUUUCCUUGUCUAGUUCAAAAAUAAUACAAGGAUAUGCCUUUUCCUAUACUGCCAUGAACAACACUUUGUGAACGAAGUGUCAUUUCUACAUUCGUGUUUUCCGUCAAAAAUUUGGUGGACUCUUUCCUAUCCAUAUUAGGGCAGCAUGUCAAAAUUCAACAUAAUUACCCUAGUAAAUAUUUCUCAGCUAAUUUCCAAAGUGUAUGUCCAGAAAGGAACUUUGUGAAGGAGGUACUAUCUAGGCAUGUCCUAAUGAUUUAAAAUUUUGAUAUCACCUUCUGAUGCUCAAAUAAUAACACUCCUCCAAAUGAUUUGAAAUAUGAAUGAUGAGGUCGUGCAGUCGCACUGUUUGAUGACUCGUAAUAUAAAUGGAAAUGGAGCAAAUAAUUAAAUUAUCAUUUACCACACAACCACACAUUAUAAUAAUACAUCACAUUAUAUUGGAUAUGACAUACGUUUCUUACAAAACGAUGAGCACAUUAUCAAUAAUAUCGCAUCACCGAGACACUUACAAGCAUAAAUAAGUUGACACACUGGAUUGAACAUGUUAUCCAGUUAUUCAAUAUAACAUUGACACUCUCGUAUAUUCAACAUGAAAUGUCGACUCUCACACUUUCUUAAGCAAGGACUUCGCCAAAUUCAUAAUCCUUAGUGCAGAGAUAGUAGCAUCCAGUUUUGCAAUGAUCUUUGACAUCGUUCACUUCUUGACUCGCAACAACUGAGUGCAGAAUUGUUUCCAUUAGAAACAAUCACUAACUCAAAGUGAAUAAUAAUAUGCAACGAAUGGUCCAUAAUGUAUUUAACUUACGAGCGUUGAUGUUCCCGCACAAUGAGGACAUGCAUCCCAACCUGCAGAACUCAAUGGAUUUUGCUUCGUCUAUAAAAAAAAUAUGUAUGUAAAUGGAAAUGUUUACUCAUUAUAUGGACAACAACGAGAAGGAUGGAUUCAGAAUUUACCUACGUCUGUGACAUGGUUGAAGCGGUCACAUGGAGGCACACAUUUUUCCAAAAUCUUGCAACCACAUAAGCUUGCACAUGUAGGCCGAGCGGAACCCGUGACACGACAUACAUUAUAGCAGUUUCUUGUCGUGGUGGAACAACAACAACUCUUGGCCUCUAUAUGGGUCUGUUGAAGGACUAGUCCUAGCAUGAGUACUCCAAUAAUGAUACUCUUAAGACUUAUGGCUUCCAUAUUCACCUUGUAUGUAUUUAUCAGAAAACCAACUGAUGAAUCUAGUCUCGGAUGCUCUCUAUUUAUAGGAAGUAUUCCAUGGUGCGCCACAUUGCACGAAGGUAUUGAAUGAACAAUUGUUUAUUAUUGUGGUAUGGUUUAACUUCCAGUACACAAACAAUAAUAAUUAACUAGUAAUGGCGGUGCAGGCAUCUCAUAUGGACAUGCAAUUAUUGUCAUUAACAUUGUUUACGACCUUAAUGCAUGCCCGUCACACUCAUACACCAGGCUAGCCUAGAGGAAAGAUUGAUCAUUUCACAACACUUAUUAUAAUGCAUGACCUAUCGUACAUGUUGGAUCAAUAAGUAGAUUAAAGAAGCUUUGUGCUUAUCUUCUAUCCUUGAUUCGUGAGAUUCGUAAUGAAUAGAAUCAAUGCACAAGUUUGAUUGAAUCUGGGAUGAUUACUAGUAUAUGUUCCAUGUAGAGUAAUUCACCUAAAACUUGGUGUACUCUAGAUAAUUUUUAUGAUUCUACCACCGAAUCAAAUUUGAUUAUUAUUUAUGUUAUCUUCAACUGACUUAUCGACACAUAUGACUGCACAUUAAUUAAAACAGNNNNNNNNNNNNNNNNNNNNNNNNNNNNNNNNNNNNNNNNNNNNNNNNNNNNNNNNNNNNNNNNNNNNNNNNNNNNNNNNNNNNNNNNNNNNNNNNNNNNCUCGGAAAGGGAAAAAACCGUGUUUUCUGUUUUUUUCUAUCGCGUGAGGCACGGUUUUUUCGUCCGUUUUUUCAUGAAAAAAACUUCAUCAAAACCUAUCAACAUGGGAUCUAGUUUUGAAGAUCUCGACGCGAGAAAGCCAACGGUGAAAACGGUUCGAGAUUUAGACACACGGUUUAGGAGAUAAAACGUUUUGAAAAACCGGAUCUAUGAAAAAAGGGAAAACUUGCAGGUUGCGACAAGUGACACGCAUUAUAGUGCGCCAUUUGUUGUAACCUAUGAAGAUGGGAGUAAUCGUUGAAAGGUGUACUCGUCAAUUAAUGAUUUCACUUAAAGGAUGGCCGGCAAAUCCUAUAUGCUGCUGACUCCUACAGACGGGUUGGCCCAUGUGAUAGGUGUCCCUUUCUUUAAUUGUUAUUCUUAAUUUAUAUUUUACAUUUUAAGAUUUUUUUUCUUAUUUGUUUCACAUUUUAUUUAUUAUUGUUUUUGUAAUAUAUAGUAAACAUUUUUUUCCAAAUAAGGUGAACAUUUAUUUAAAUACACACAGCAAGUUUAUAGUAUAUGGUGAACCUUUUUCAUAUAAAUAUUGAACAUUUUCUAAUAUAUGACGAAAAUUAAUCUUAUAUAAAUUUUUUUAAAUAGUAUAUGAUGACCUUUUGUAAUUACAUGACGAACAUUUUCUAUUAUACGGUGAUCUUUUUUCCAAAUGAACUUGUAUACAUAACACAUAGAACAAUUUUUUUAAUUUUUUUUCUAUUAUUAAUAAGAUUUUAAAACAUACAGCGUUCCUAGAAAACAAUGGAGAGUAAAAAUAGAAAAUAAGGUUGACUGGCCAAUUUUCCUUGGCUUCAACGAUGCCACCCGUAGUUGAUGCACUCGGGCGUCAACUAGGAGGUCUCCGGUCAGCCCUUCGGUUUCAACAUUAAUAGUUUAAUUAUUAUUUUGUUUCACCAUNNNNNNNNNNNNNNNNNNNNNNNNNNNNNNNNNNNNNNNNNNNNNNNNNNNNNNNNNNNNNNNNNNNNNNNNNNNNNNNNNNNNNNNNNNNNNNNNNNNNAAAUUCCUGAAUAUCAUUUUAAAUUUUGAACAGUUUUUGUAAACAUAAAUAUUUUUCUGAAGUUUUGCUAAUAGGAUUUAACGAUUGAUCCUAAAAAUUCAAAAUUUGUUCAUCAAUUUUCAGAAUAUGUUCAUCUAAUUUCAAAAAAGGCAUAGAUAUUCAGAAUAUGUUCAUCCUUCAGGUGCAAAAUAGAAGGUCCUUAAAGGAGGGACCAACUAGUUAGCGAGCGCUCCCUCGCGAGCCUUCCAGCGAUCGCUCCCGUGCGUCGCCACUUGGCGAGUUUCCAGCCGCCGCCACGUGUCGCGCUCUGAGCGUCGUUCCGUUCGGAUUUUGUUUUUUUAUUUUUUCGCACGCGUUUUCGCCUUUUUUGAGUGGUUUUUUUCUUUUUUUUUGGUGUUAUGGUUUUUCAUCGGUCUUUCAUAACUUUUGGACGAUUUUUUUUUGCAAAAAAACGCGUUUUCUUUUUUUUACGCGACGUAAAAUUCCGUUUUUUUGCCGAGANNNNNNNNNNNNNNNNNNNNNNNNNNNNNNNNNNNNNNNNNNNNNNNNNNNNNNNNNNNNNNNNNNNNNNNNNNNNNNNNNNNNNNNNNNNNNNNNNNNNUUAGGGGGUCCCGAACUAUGGAUCUAAGACCAAUGGUAACAAGUAGAGUUGGGAGACAAUGUUUACCGAGGUUUGGACACUCUCGAAGAGGUUAAACCCUACACACUUCUUUGAUUAUAUUCAUAAUGGGGUAUCGAGUACAGGUUGAUGAUCUACCUCGAGAUCAUUGUGUAAGCUCUAAACCGUUAUGCGAAUAAGUUGUCCCUCUACGGACUAAACCCAUGGGCUUAGUUACAUGUUUAAUCACUUGCAGGUAUGACGAAUAUAGAGCUAUCCUUGGGGUACACGUCAGGUCUUUGAAGCUUUCCUUUUUUUCACACGGACAAGUCUUGACGCUUCCAUCGUCCUCCAGACGGUGACUUAACAGGCCCCAAGGGCGCCCCAUAUGGACCACUCACUUUGGGCUGGCAGCCUCUAUUCCAGGACACCCUCAAUUAUCUUGUCACACAAAGCUAGUGAAAGGAAAGCCAAUAAGUUGAAUAUGUGUCUUAUUAAGAUGACUAUACACAUCCAGCUAUCUUCACCUCAUAUUCUCCCUUUUGGUUUAUUCUAACCAAGGCCUCCCUUUGUCCAUGAUUUCCUUAGAACAUAAAAGCAUUUUGCUUCCAAGUGGGUAUGGCCCAAGGACCACAUGCUCAACUUGAGGUCCACUUAUCACCCACCAUUGUGAUAUUGGCCCAAUGUUCUUACACGAAUUUUGUAUUGCAUGGCAAUAUCUAACACACAAACUAAUUUACAUGAGCCAUUGUUUAAAAGGAAGAUGCACCGAGCUAGCUUCAACAAGAAAAUACAUUGAAGUGCAUUCACGCACAUGGUGCUCGAAUAGGCCCUCCCACUCUCUAUGUUUCUCCAAAUGUAUUUUGGGCUUUAGUUUAUCAAUGCACCUGUAAUUGGANNNNNNNNNNNNNNNNNNNNNNNNNNNNNNNNNNNNNNNNNNNNNNNNNNNNNNNNNNNNNNNNNNNNNNNNNNNNNNNNNNNNNNNNNNNNNNNNNNNNUACAUAUUUGCGGAAAAAGGUUCGUGUUGACCCAACAAUUUAUGCUAUUUUUAACAAGGGAAAAUACGUCGACCUCUCUAUAAGUUUAGGGUUAUUGUAUUCUCUGGACGUGGGUGUCUCGAGUCAAUGAGUAAUGAGACAACAAGCUACGGAGCCUGCACUUAUCUCCCAUUGUUGUAGGACUGCAAAGGUAUCCUUCUACCGACCAAUUGCCACAUUGACACAAGCAAGAGAAUGAAUAAGAUAAAUAAGCCCCCAAACCCGGCGAAUUGGCCAUAAAAUAUUUUCUGGUGCUUGUCAAUCCUAUGUAAUAAUUAUAGAUAAAACACCCAUUUUCUUCUCUAUAGAUAUAUAAACAAUCUCUGUUUAUUGUUGCUAGAGGAAUUACAACUGAAAGGUUCAGGGGAGACAGAUUUUCAUGAGUUGAGAAUUUGUGACAUGAAGGUGGCUUGUCGCUUGUGAGCACUUAUACUACUUAAGAUCAUGAAGUGCUGUUCUCUAGCCAACUUUCAAUUUCUAUAGUUGCCUUUAUGUGUGGUAAAACCAUAUAUUUGUCAUGUAAGUGCCUUUCAUCAGUUGCACUCUUCCCAACCCCUAUUUCUCACAAGGACGGCAAUAUGAGAAAACAACUGCUUGAAUGCUGAAUUAUUCAUUGCAGAUAAUACUGCCAUGCCACAUGAGCAAACACUAAUACUUGAACUACAUUAUAGAUAUCUCAUACUCCCAUUCAUGAAGCAUGAACUAAGCUCAGGAAGUUCCAAAAUAAUCUCACAUUGCAACAAAAAAAAAGCCUAGGGGGUGUUGAUGACCUUUACUAUAAGAACAUGCACAUGGCAAGAACUAUAGAGUCCGAGUAACUUUAUUCGUUGCCCAACCUUUUCACAUUUGUAUUUAAUGGUUGUACAUGAACACCAAGAUGCAUUUUUCCACAUUCAAGUUGUUUAUGACUAUACCCCCUAUGAUAUUUCUUUUAAACCUAAUUGUGUACAACACCUAGUGUCUCACACUCUAAUCCAUGUAUGCAAAUGUGGCAUGACCUAUGAGGCAUAAUCUACAUUGCAUUGAAAUUUGAAUGGCGCCGAAGCGAGUGUUCCUUUCUCGGUUAAGUCAUGAGUAUAAUAAAUGUAUUUCUUUCACAAUGCAACCUUAGGAAGCCAUUUCGUAGAGAAUUUGGAUCUAUGCACUUCCCAUACUUUUUCCCGAUUGUUUUUUCACAACAAAGAUGGCUACACGACUAUAUCUGCUUGGUUCACCUUCUCGCAUCGUACAAGGCUAUAAUGUGGCACAAUGGUAAGUACUUGCACAUCCCAAUCAUACACAAUAUUAUAUUUAGAUGGCAUGUGCUUUCUACAGUCUACACUACCGCGUGCUAACCAUCUUCACCCCAUUCAUUAAUAAAAUCAGCACUAAAAGGGGGUCUUGGAGAGAAAGAGAACCUAGAUGCGUCUAGUCGAUAUUGUGAACAUGAAGGCACAUCACUUGCUUUACUUUUUUAUCUUCUCGUUUGGUAUUGCUGAGCUUCAACAUUUAGUUUUGUAUAUACUUCCAUCAUAUAGAGGAUCUAAUAGUAGAGUAACAUAUGUGAUGCCACCACAAGNUUAGGGCGAUGAAAUAAAUAUUGGUCUAGUUGAUAGAGUUUUACCACUAUUUAUUCUCUAUCCAAAAAUUCAAUAGAGCCAAUUUUAUGGUGAAGCUUGUAUUAGUUUGCGGAGGUUAAUUUAGAGGAUUUUAGCUAAAAUCAAAAAUAGUAAGCCAAGCACCCCUCAUGCAAAGCCAUUUUUGUGAGCUGUGUGUAACAAUCCCAUCUCAAUCGCAAUGUCCCUAAUCCAAUUACACGUGUAUUGAUAAAAUAAAGCCCAAAAUACAUUUGGAGAAACAUAGGGACUGGGAGGGCCUAUUCGAGCACCAUGUGCGUGAAUGCACUUCAAUGCAUUUUCUUGUUGAAGCUAGCUCAGUGCAUCUUCCUUUUAAACAAUGGCUCAUGUAAAUUAGUUUGUGUGUUAGAUAUUGCCAUGCAAUACAAAAUUCAUGUAAGAACAUUGGGCCAACAUCAAGAUGGUGGGUGAUAAGUGGACCUCAAGUUGAGCAUGUGGUCCUUGGGCCAUACCCACUUGGAAGCAAAAUGCUUUUAUGUUCUAAGGAAAUCAUGGACAAAGGGAGGCCUUGGUUAGAAUAAACCAAAAGGGAGAAUAUGAGGUGAAGAUAGAUGGAUCUGUAUAGUCAUCUUAGCAAGACACAUAUUCACCUUAUUGGCUUUCCUUUCACUAGCUUUGUGUGACAAGAUAAUUGAGGGUGUCCUAGAAUAGGGGCUGCCAGCCCAAAGUGAAUGGUCCAUGUGGGGCGAUCUUGGGGCCUGUUAAGUCACCGUAUGGAGGACGAUGGAAGCGUCAACACUCGACCAUGUGAAAAAAGGAAAGCUUCAAAGACCUGACGUGUACCCCAAGGAUAGCUCUAUAUUCGGCAUACCUGCAAGUGAUUAAACAUGUAACUAAGCCCAUGGCUUUAGUCCAAAGAGGGACAACUUAUUCGCAUAACGGUUUAGAGCUUACACACUGAUCUCGAGGUAGAUCAUCGACCUGUACUCGAUACCCCAUUAUGAAUAUAAUCAAAGAAGUGCGCAGGGUUUAACCUCUUCGAGAGGGUCCGAACCUCGGUAAACAUUGUCUCCCAACUCUACUUGUUACCAUUGGUCUUAGAUCCAUAGUUCGGGACCCCUUAACUGAGAUCCGCCGGUUUAGCUCUGACAUUGGUGACCCAUACAUGUAUAGCUGUGUUGUUGACCCGGAUAAAUGGUUCGUCUUCAGAUUAGCACUCACAUCUGCUGCAGUGGCAUCUUCGCUCGCAACCAACUUCUCAUGCUCGGAAGCGUGGUCCUCCAUGCGGGCUCCACCAGCCAUCUUGACCAGGUUGAGAACUUCAUGCCCGAUCAAGUGGUCAUGUUUGGAAGCUUGAAGUACACCAUCGAUGCCCGUGGAGAUCACUCCCUCUCUGUCUAGACCUCGGGUAGGUUGGAGCAUUCAUUGGAUACCACGGCUAUGACCCUGGAACUGAUCCCCAACCCAGUAGGCGACACCUUCGAAGAUACGGCCUUGAGCAUGAAUCUAUCCCUCUCCAUCAUAGAUUGCAACAUUGAGUCCGACCCGACUUGGGGCUUAGUCUUGAGCUCUUAUCUGAUUGCCUACAAGGUCGCUCCCGCAUCUCGAGGGAACGCACUCCUGAUUAGCUCGGCUUAUGGCUAGACAAUGGAUCCAACCAAACUCUCGCUUUUAAACGAGAUGUUAGAUCGAAUCCAGAUCAUCGGGAUCUCGGACGACAAGACCUUAGUCUAUGAUCAAAUCAGAUGUAAAACCGAUAUCCAGGUAAUUUACGUCCCACCCACUAUCCUCCUAGUCGCUAUAUUGAUGAUUUACCCGACGUCCUCGACUACGCGUCAAAAGAAGCCGAAUUGGAAGAAGACGCCGGGAUAGAACGAACGCAAUGAAAAACCUGUAAGUUCGAUUUUUUGACAUCAAGCCAUACACAAAAUAGCGCAUGAUCAUAGUAGGCAUGCUGGAACACUUAACAAAUAGCAAUGACAUGAUUUUAUUAACCAGAAAUAAUAAUUUUCACCAAGACACCAGCUAUAUAAUUGCUCCAAUCACAUACAUAUGGCAAAGCUUUCACAACUAUGUGAACUUGGGGCACACUCUAAAACCUUACCAAGUACAUGUGUGAUGCCACNNNNNNNNNNNNNNNNNNNNNNNNNNNNNNNNNNNNNNNNNNNNNNNNNNNNNNNNNNNNNNNNNNNNNNNNNNNNNNNNNNNNNNNNNNNNNNNNNNNNCCCAACCCUUAUAACAAUAACAAUGUUAUAAGGGUUGGGUUUGAGGGUUCUAGUCUUUGCCCCAACCCCACCCAUUAAAACUGUCAUUUGACAUAUCACAAUUUUCACUAGAAAAUCACAAUAAACCUUCAAACAAACACGAAAAUGAUGAUCAUUGAUGCAUGGUUUAAUAAUUUACAUCACACAAUCAUCAUCGUCCCCCUCUCAUCGGCACCAUCAUCAAAAAGUUACACAUGGCGCCAUCUCCUAGACCACUUCCACGUCCAUCAAGCGCCUCCAUUGUCGCCGGUGGUGGAGUCCUCCACACCAUCCUCGCCACCAUCACUCAUCGGAGUGUCACCUCGAAGAAUAGAGGACACACCACGAAAUAUCUUCUUCCUCUCCGGGAUGUCCUCCUUGUACUCCUUCCACCACAUCAAUUGGUCUUCAUCCAUGUCCUUCUUGGACAUCAUCAUGUGCUCCUUCUCUUUCACCAUGAGUUUUUUCCAUGCCUUUGCUUCUUUGACCUUGAUCAUCCUCUCCUCCAAGUCGGCCUUGCGCUUGGAAUCUUCACGCCUUGCUUCAACUUGUGCAAGCUUCACCUCUUUCUUCUUCUCGUUGAUAAGAAGUUUUGUCUCCAAUGUCUUCAUUGUCAAUGCCUCCCUUGACUUCAUCAUAUCUUUUAUCUUCUCCCUUAUGCUCGACGCCUCUCCUUCCAUCUUCUUCCUUAGCUUAUCCUUCUUGUUUCUAGCGGGCUUGUGCUCGUUCCUUCCCUCCUCUUCACUAUCAUCCAUCCUAAGCAUUGCCGACUUCUUGGGUGCGGUCUCUUGAGCCCUCAACUUCCACUUGUCAUAAGUUUGAAGAAUUUUCCAAACAUGCUUAAAUGGGAAUGAUUUGCCCUUGGAAGCGGCCAUCUGCUUGUACCUCAAGUCGGCAAUUGCCUCCUACAAUGGGGCUUCAUCAACUCCCACCGCCCUUGAAGCAACCGGUAACUACGAGGGAUGUACCCACCGGUCUUCGGCUUGAUCUUGCAAUAGACGUCCAUGCGUUGCCAAUAGCGUUUACCGGUUUGAUCGGUACCGGUGCUUGCAUCCAACCCCACAUGUGCCCAAGCACGAACCAAGAGAAUAUCUUCGUCCUCACUAUAGUUUGUCGAGCGCACGGUGGGUUUUGCAACGGCGGCGAACGCCUCCUCCUCUAUCUCGGUCACCUCCUCCUCAUCUUCCCCUUCCUCCUCCUCAUCAUCCUCUUCCUGCAAGUCAUCACCAAACCCAAAGGGUUCGAGAGGAGGAGCCCCGAUGUCCACCUCCGCUUCUUCGAGAAGCCCCAUGAACGACGUUGGCGGGGCAGGCAUUCCGUCGAGCACCUCGUGCACGACGGGCGGAGGUGCGGGAGACGGGGCGGCCGGGGCGGGCGUCGGCUUCUUCCUGGAGGUGGUCUUCUUCACCUUCGACGCUGCUGCCCCCUUCGGCCCAAGGGAGGGCUUCUUCCUCAUCUUCGGCGUCGUUGCGGCCGGGGCGACGGAGGCGACGGCCGAGGCGGGCUGGGGGAGGACGAUGUGCUGGCCAGCACGCCGCCUCUUCAGGCCGACGGCCUGGGCGACGGAGGCGACGGCCGGCGCGGGCGGAGGGAGCGAGGACGCGGGCGGGGCGGCUGGGGCGACGGAGGAGGCCGGCGGGCGGAGGGAGGGAGGACGCGGGCGGGCGGCCGGGGCGACGGAGGAGGCCGGCGGUGCCUCCAUGGCUCUGGCGGCGGCGACGGGAUCGACAAGGCGGGGCGACGAGAGGAGCGCGUGAGGGGAAAUUUCCCUCCCGCGCAACGACCGGUGGAGUGCGGGUUGGAGGUGGGUUUCCCUCUCCAAUCCUCACUUUUACCGAUUGGGAGGGCAAUCCCAGAUCCAAUCUGUAAUAAAGUUUAAGGGUUUAGGGGUUUAGGGGUUCUAUUAUUUGCUGUUUUUUUGUUUCAACCCGUAAAAAAACGGUUCAUUAUGUUUAUUUGAGGGUUUAAGGGCUCUACAAGACAUGCUCUUGUCAUGUUGUCAGGCUCGUGGUUGGUGCUGCCAUGGACUAUGGCGACAUCUAAGACCUUGUACAAUGGUACUCCCUCUGUUCCUAAAUAUAAAACCAUUUAAAAAUUCCGCUAGAAAACUAUAUACAAAGUAAAAUAAAUGAAUCUACACUCUAAAAUAUGUCUAUAUACAUUUAUAUGUAGUUUAUAGUGUAAUCUUUAAAAGAUCUUAUAUUUAAAAACGAAGAGAGUAGGUGUUUAGACCUCGUUAUACGGGGUCUGUUAGAGAUGCUCUUAGGAAGGUGCUUAGAAAAAUAAACCAGAUUUUUUUAAAGCAUCGGUGCCUAUUUCUACAGAAGAGACGCCUAAUUAAGCGUCCACUCAGUAGAAAUAAGCACUCAUGCUUAAGAAAAAUCUAAUUUAUUUUUCUAAGCACAUCUUCUUAAUUACCUUGCAUUGUACAAUGCCUAACCGUGCGCUCAACACAACAUACUCUGCACGUUCUGUGUUUUAGAAGAGAAAAAAGACAUACUUUGCACGAUGAAUUUGUCUUGAGUCAAACUUUAUACAGUCGGACUGAAUUUAUUUCUACUCCCUCCGUCCAAAAAUACUUGUUGAAGAAAUGAAUAUAUCUAAAUAUAAUUAAUUCUAGAUAUAUUUGUUUUUAUGCAUUUUUACGACAAGUAUUUUCGGACUGAUGAAGUAUUUAUUUAUUGCCAAAACGAUCUGGGUCUGAAUAAUGCAACAUUUGCACCAUCAUAUUCUUCAAGAAGCGCUAACUUAGCCAAAAUGUCAGUGUGAAGAGCGAUCAACGAAGAUGCCAACCUUAAUAAAGAGAAGCAAACGACAUAAACAAGUUGAACCUCGGCUAGCUAGAACGUAUGGAUGCAUCUUCGGUGACCGGAUCACUCCAUUCCAAGGGAACGGUUCAUACCCAUUGCGUGUCUAUUUCUUCAGUUGGUGGUUGACCUAGCAUUGCAGUCGCUCAUGGGAUGUUUUGAGAAAAAUAUUAUGCUCUUUCAUGGUUGAGGGUCUCUACUACUCCCUCCGUUCCAUAAUAUAGGUUUUUUUAGAAAUUCCACUAGAGAACUACAUACGGAUGUAUAUAGAUAUACUUUAAAGUGUAGAUUCACUCAUUUUGCUUUGUAUGUAGCCCCUUAGUGAAAUCGCUUAAAAGACUUAUAUUUAGAAAUGGAGGGAGUAUCACCUUAUGAAUAGGGAGAAUGUGGAUAGGGCAAAUUGUUGUCUGAGACCGUUAUGUUCGAUUGUGUAUUGACCAUCUACGUGUUGGAAAUAUGUCCUAGAGGCAAUAAUAAAUUAGUUAUUAUUAUAUUUCUUUGUUCAUGAUAAUCGUUUAUUAUCCAUGAUAUAAUUGUAUUGAUUGGAAACAUAGUGCAUGUGUGGAUACAUAGACAAAACACUAUCCCUAGUAAGCCUCUAGUUGACUAGCUCAUUGAUCAAAGAUGGUCAAGGUUUCCUGACCAUAGGCAAGUGUUGUCACUUGAUAACGGAAUCACAUCACUAGGAGAAUCAUGUGAUGGACUAGACCCAAACUAAUAGACGUAGCAUGUUGAUCGUGUCAUUUUGUUGCUACUGUUUUCUGCAUGUCAAGUAUUUGUUCCUAUGACCAUGAGAUCAUAUAACUCACUGACACCGGAGGAAUGCUUUGUGUGUAUCAAACGUCGCACGUAACUGGGUGACUAUAAAGAUGCUCUACAGGUAUCUCCGAAGGUGUUCGUUGAGUUACUAUGGAUUGAGACUCGGAUUUAUCACUCCGUGUGACGGNACCCCAAAAUGGUUUUCUCCCAAACAGAAGAAGAUCAGGGGGCCUUUGGGACAAGCCAGGUGGGCUCCAGGGAGCCCACAAGCCCCCACUCCGCCACCAGGGCGAGGCGGCGGUGGGCAGGCUUGUGGCCUCCCUGUNNNNNNNNNNNNNNNNNNNNNNNNNNNNNNNNNNNNNNNNNNNNNNNNNNNNNNNNNNNNNNNNNNNNNNNNNNNNNNNNNNNNNNNNNNNNNNNNNNNNNNNNNNNNNNNNNNNNNNNNNNNNNNNNNNNNNNNNNNNNNNNNNNNNNNNNNNNNNNNNNNNNNNNNNNNNNNNNNNNNNNNNNNNNNNNNNNNNNNNNNNAAAAAAUCAGGAGAUCAUCGAAAGUACUUUUCCACCGCCGCAAGCUUCUGUCUCCGCAAGAUCCCAUCUGGGGCACGUUCUGGUGCCCUGCCGGAGGGGGGAUUCGGAUACGGAGGGCUUNNNNNNNNNNNNNNNNNCCUCUCCAAUGAUGCGUGAGUAGUUCACCAUAGACCUACGGGUCCAUAGCUAGUAACUAGAUGGCUUCUUCUCUCUCUUGGAUCUUCAAUACAAAGUUCUCCAUGAUCUUCAUGGAGAUCUAUCCGAUGUAAUCUUCUUUUGCGGUGUGUUUGUCGAGAUCCGAUGAAUUGUGGAUUUAUGAUCAGAUUAUCUAUGAAUCUUGUUUGAGUUUCUUCUGAUCUCUCUUAUGCAUGAUUUCAUAUCCUUGUAAUUCUCUUCGAGUUGUGGGUUUAGUUUGGCCAACUAGAUCUAUGAUUCUUGCAAUGGGAGAAGUGCUUGGUUUUGGCUUCAUACCGUGCGGUGNNNNNNNNNNNNNNNNNNNNNNNNNGACGGAGAGGUAUCUCGGGGCCCACUCGGUAAUACAACAUCACACACAAGCCUUGCAAGCAAUGUGACUUAGUGUAAGUUGCGGGAUCUUGUAUUACGGAACGAGCAAAGAGACUUGCCGGUAAACGAGAUUGAAAUAGGUAUGCGGAUACUGACGAUCGAAUCUCGGACAAGUAACAUACCGAAGGACAAAGGGAAUGACAUACGGUCACUCUAGAUGCAUGCUGCAUAGACAAAGGGAAUGACAUUAGAUCAUAUAACUCACUCUAGAUGCAUGCUGCAUAGCGGUCGAUGUGUGGAGUAAUAGUAGUAGAUGCAGAAAGUAUCGGUCUACUUGUCUCGAACGUGAUGCAUAUAUGUAUGAUCAUUGCCUUAGAUAUCGUAAUGACUUUGCGCGGUUCUAUCAAUUGCUCGACAGUAAUUUGUUCACCCACCGUAAUAUUUGCUAUUUUGAGAGAAGCCUCUAGUGGACACUAUGGCCCCCGUGUCUACUUCACACCAUAUUUUAAAGCCUUACUCUUUUUCUUCGUUGCACUUUUCGCCUUCAGAUCUCACUUUGCAAUCAAUCUUGAAGGGAGUGACAACCCUUUAUAGCGUUGGGUGCAAGCUCUUUUGUGUUUGCGCAGGUACUCUGGACUUGAUGGGAUUCUCUUACUGGAUUGAUACCUUGGUUCUCAAACUGAGGGAAAUACUUACUGCUUCUGUGUUGCACCACCCUUUCCUCUUCAAGGGAAAAAACAACGCAAGCCCAGCCUCCGUCAACGUGUCAAUCUCUGGCGCUGUUGUUUGUUGUCGUAGCAAUACCCCACCCAUAUAUUGGUUAGUCAACAAGAUUGUUGCAACCGUUCAUUGCUUAGAUUGCCAAACAUGGUAGAACACUAUUGCAAAGCACACCAUGGUCCUGCUACCAAAAUUAAAUUUAGCAAUCUCAUGCGUUGUCUUGUUAGCCUGUCUAUCAAUCUUUACAAUCUGGAGAUCCUCAAUACACUUUGAGAUGAUGAGCACUUCCUUUUCGGAUCCGAAAGAGGAGACCUGUCAAUGGUUCAAUAAUUUUUUCUUCAUGCAUGGUUGCAUCUUGGACUUAUCCUUGUAUGAUGAUGUGACGUGCUUGCAUGUUGAGAUAAAAAAUUAACGAGAAAGAAUCUCUUGGGUAUAUGGUAUAGGAUUUGGUUUUGUCUGUGUAAGAUCGGACUUUAAUUAUGUCAUGCAUGGUUGUGUUUUUUUCAUUGGUACCGGCUUGACUUGUUGUUCCAUGCGGUAUUUGUUUUCAAAGGAAGGUGUAUUUGUUUGGUGUUUGCUUUUAGUAUUACUAUAUAAUGCCCCGUACGUUGUUGCGGGAAGCUUGUUAAUAAAAAUAUGGACAAUUGAUAAAAGACUAAAAAUUUAUGCAAAGAAAAAUAUAAAAGUGUGUUUUACAUGACUUAAUUCCCUUGAAAAAAGUCAUGCAUGAGGUGAAAGAUUUUGCAUGCAAAGAUUAACGAAAAAAAAUGAGGUAUGACUCCAUGCAUGACAUGGUGAUGUGGCAUGAUUGCAUGAAAAGAAAAAUUAGGUAGUGGGUUAUAGCUAUUUAAGAAUAAAGGAUUACACAUUUUAGUUUUCUGGUAGUAAAUGGUGGUCACGUGAGCUCCUUUAUGACCCACAAAACCAAUCGACCACAGUCAAACAACACACACAGAAACACGCACGCAAGCACGCACGCGCACGGCGAGAUUGAACGCCAAUAGGACCAUAUGACCGCGUGGUCGAGUCCAAACAACAACGUGCAAAGUGCAAAAUACCCGCUUAUAAUUGGGCCGAUCUACGAACCCCAAAGCCCCGACGCAUCAAGAGAACCAUUCAAUUCCUAUGUAUCCUAAUUUUUAAAAUUCAUUUUUUUUGUAGAAUUCGUGAAAAAAUUAUAAAUAUUUUUUAAUUUUUGAACAAUUUUUAAACCGUGAACAUUUUUGUCGCCAACUAUGUAGCCUACUCUUUUUUGGAAAUACGCUGUUUUUCUAAAGUGCAAGUCUAUCAAUCAACCGUUGGCUUGAUCAUAUAUGCGAGCUAUUUCUUCCAAAAAAAAUUCUGUUCCACUGCAGUCACGGAAAGGGGUAUAGCAAUCCAUGACCUUUAAACGUGAGGAGUGGUUUGUCUGUGUCCACAUGUGUUUAUAAGUUGGAUCUUUCCGAUCUAUGCUUCACUUUAUCGAAUGUAGUUGUUCUGAUAAAUUGGACCUUUUGGGCCUUAGCACAACGAUUUUUCGAUUGUCUAUCACAACAAAGUUUGUCCAACAAUAUGUACCACUCUAUUUACUUUUUUAAAAGUAAAUAUUCGAGAGCGUCGACGUCUCUAUUUUACUAGUGCAUGUCUCAUGGCUUAAAUGUGUAGGUUCAUAUAUAUAUACUUCCUUUGUUUUAUUUACUUUGCAUAGUAGUUUUGUCUGAGGUCAAACUUUGUAAAUUUUGAUCAAGUUUGUAAAAAAAUAUUAACAUCCAGGAUACAAAAUGAAUACCAUUAGAAUCAUCAUUGAUAUAUUUUCCUAUCAUGCCUAUUUAUUCUCGUGAAAUUUUGAUAGUUUUAUAUAAACUUGAUCCUACUUUAUAAAGUUUCAUUUAGAUAAAAAAACUGAUAUACGGAGUAAAUAAAAACGAAGGAAGUACUUUAUAGUGUAUCAAUUUAUUAAUGGGACGUGUUACGCGUCAGUCGAUGGAUCUUUAUAAAAAAAAUCCGUUACUAUCGAGUCGUUGGAUUUAGCUGAUUAGUACAUAUUUAGAGCAUCUAUAGCCGGGACUUGCAAAUCUGGCCCCUCAAACGCCCGCGGACACGACCGGUCAGUGACCGGACGUGCCCGGGCGUGUCCGCGAGCCCUCGUAUCGUCCUCAUAUUUGAGAUGGAUAUGAGGGGUGCCGGUCAGUCCGGACGUUUGAGAUGGGUAUGAAGGGUCCGGCUGGGUCGAUCUUUUGUGACCAGUUAGUAACAUGGCGGACUGCUCGGGCAUUUCAGGUUGGUUUAAAGGGUCCGGCUGUAGAUGCUCUUACCACUUAUGUAAUAUAGGAUGUGUAGCAUAAUGUUUUUGCAACAGUGAUCAUGUUGCAUAAGACAUUUGUAAGAGAGCUUGUGUUACAAAAAAAAAAUGCAACAGAGAUUAUCUUGCAUAAUAUGUUUAGCAACUGAGAUUAUAUUGCAGAAUUUUUUUGCCCGCAUUGUCACACCAUUACAUUGUCACUGCAAUAUUCUCCAUGUUUUAAAAACAUGCACGAAGUUGCAAAAAUCUAUGACUUGCGGCGUAUGGGAUUAUCCGACACAUGGUUGGCUCUCGAAGUGACGUGACGGAUCGUGAGGCGUAGAUCGACUGGAUGAUUCUAAUCAUUUUACUUUAUUAUUAAUCUCUUAUAAGUCAUUUUAUAUAUGUAAUAAUAAGGUUGUCGCGUUUGACCCGCACGUGCAAAGAUCCACGUGCGACGUCGUCAUUGGCCAAGACGCUAAAAGAAUCAGGUGCCAAAUGCCAAGCAUAUCCGUUUGUUGUUCUCCGGAGAAAAACUGCCAACUGGUGGCUGGUGGUCGGUAUGCGCCGCCGCCACCAACCCCCAGGACGGCUGGCAAGCGACGACUCGUCUCUAACUCUCUACAGCUGCCGUUGCCUGACAUGCAUCAGAUGCAUGAGUUCGAGAACAGGGAUUUGUCUUUUCAGGAACACCCAAUGCACCACGUGCGCAUUGUUAUUUUUUUCUUCAAAAUUCUUGUGGCAUCAAAGCAGGCGGCGGAGUUGCGCCACGCAGUUUUCAAAAUCAUCCACAUUUAAAUAUUUGGGGUGCGUCCUCUUGCAUCCACCAGCAUGCCGUCUUUGGGUCUUCGUCUCUGCGGAACUAACCUUUUUACAACCCAGGUGUUUGUAAAAACAUUGAUCGGAUAGUUGUUGAUGUAGACCAAGGGCCGCUGCAAUCUGCAAGCGCAUCAUGAGCAUAGCUCGAUGCCGCCUUUGGGCCUUCGUCUCUGCGGAACUAACUUUUUACAACCCGAGUAUUUGUAAAAACAAUGAUCGGAUAGAAUCACCACUACGAAAAAAAAACACUAAGGUUGAUUGUAAUGGUAGCAUCAUGCAUGUCAACUAAGCAUAUUUGAUGAAGUGACAUAAAACUAAAUGAAAAAAGAGAUGAUUGAGUAUCAUAUUAUUAUACCGUGUCAUAUUAAAUAUUAUACUACCAUGUGUCAUGCAUGAUAACAAAUAAACUAUUCUAUGAUACUAACAUAUGAUAUUAUGCAUUACGGAUGUAAUAUCAUACAUUGGUGUCAUAUGCAUAAUACUACUAUAUAUGAUACCACCGUUACAACCAGUCUAAUAAAGAGAUCCAUAGAAAUCCAAACUGACUGGAUCUUGGAAGACCGCCGAAGACUAGCUCCAAACACUCCUCGCUGGUGAUAAACACACAAACGGGGAAAAGAGCGGGGAGUAUAUUAUUCCUAGACGGAGGCAUCCCAUCGCCUCGCAACUUGGAACCAAAGUCUAAUGCUCCUAAAGAGAACCUGCAAAAAAACACCCAUAUCGUUGCACGACGGGUCUGGAUCUGACAUCGACCUCACCGCUGUUCAGAAGAAUUUAUAGACUCCCUCUUCUAGGGUGACAUAGUCAGGCUGUGUCGCGGUUGAAGAUCACUUCACUGGAUUACCAAUAUCGUCGUCGAGCAUCGCCUGCUAAGAGCAACUCUAGCAGAUCAUGUAUAAUUACGACCUGCAAAUGUGUUUUACGGUUCGACGAAAUGCGAUUUUGCGGGACGAAAUGUUUCGCUGCAGAACAGAACCUGUAUAAUCAAACUGCAUAAUUUGAAAUAAAACAUUCCCGGACGAAAUUGGAACCACAGUCUACAUCGAACAUGAUCAUACAAACUACAUUCACAGCCUGCAUCACUUACUAGAGGGGGGAGCACACCUACUGGAGCUCAUCGGAGCUCACUAGAGCUACUAUCUAUCCUACCGCACUACUCAAAACUGAGCUCACCGGAGUCGAGCUCGUGCGGUAGUAGAUGCGCAGUGCGCUCAGUCGUUGUCGGAGGAGGAGGAGAGCUCGAUGUAGAUGUGCUCCUGCGCAGUCGCUUCGCGGAGCCACUCCUCCACCUUGUGGCCGAAGGCGAGGGCCGACGCGACACCCUGCUCGUAGAGCAUGGCGUCGAUCUCCUUCUCCCCCCGACGGCGCUGCUGGUCCUCUUCGCCUCUCGUGCACUCCGCGCCAGCAGCACGGGCAAAAGGCUAUCCGCCUCCGCCGGAGGGAGGAAAUCCUCCGGUCCGAAGACGGCCCCGGCACGUCGCUCCGGCACCACCUCGGCCUCCGGCUCCAUCUUCACCGACGGGAGCUCUUUGAGCUCCCUCUUCACCGGGGGGAGGGAGGAGCACGAGCGCGAGCUCGAUGCCUCGAAGGAGUUGCCGGAGCAGAGGCGGCCGCGCGCGCGGUCCUCCUUCUUUGUCUCGCGACGGAGAAGCGACGGCGGCGGCGUCUGGCCCCACUGCGUGUACCAGCGGGCGGCGCGCUUAUGGGCGGCGUCGGAUCUGACGCAACGAGCCCUCUUGGGGUCGUCGUUCCUACGGCUACCGGAGUUGGCCAUCACAGGCGGUGGAAUGGAACGGCUACGCGGCGGAAUGGAGGCGCGCGGUGGCGGAUUGAAGAGCGGCGGCGGAGGGAUAGGGUUUCGACCCGCAUCCAACGGUCGAACCCGUAGAUAUACCGGUCGAGCGCUCGCAUUUACGGACCACCGCAAAAGUUUUACGGGUGAGGCCGCGUUUGCAGUAUCUGGUCUGACAGGAAAAACAACCCAAACCCGCAUACUCGCCGGAUUUUUUACGGACCGGGCGUUUUGCGAGGUCUGCUAGAGUUGCUUUAAGAGUCAUACCCUAGCCAUGCAUCAGUGUUGUCCUUCCGCGACAGCCCACCAACUCCUCCAUUCCGAGCUGCCUAUGAGAAGCAAUCACCUGGCAAGUGGGGGAGGACGCCUUUUUUCAGAUAGACAAACUCUAGCAUAAAAAGUUGUCUUCACUACUGGUACUCCAAAUAAGGGGCUGAAUGGGGGAGUAACAAUGAUGCUUGAGUCAAUGCAAUGAAACGUGUGCUUGCAAAAAUUGAACGCCCGACUGAGUCCCUUGAAAUUGUCCAUGAUUCAUGCCCUGAAUGGGCUGGCCGAAUAGCAACAACUGCGCAAUGCAUGUUUUUUUUCUAAAAACAAUAGUACAUAUUUGUUUAAAUAAAAAGCGGUAUAAAUAAAUUAAAACAAUGCCCACAACAGCGCGCCCCAAAUGGCCCCGUCCAGUAGCAGCAACCGGGGAGUCAUUAGUUAGUGAGCGCUUUUUCGGAAGCCUCGCAGCAAGCACUCUCACGCGUCGCCACUUGUCGCGGUUUCAACAGUUGCCAUGUGUAGCACUUUGAGCGUUUCCUUCAGAUUUUUUUUUCGACCUCGUUUUUGGUUUUUUAGAUUUAUUUUCCCAUUUUUUUAUGUUUCGGGUUUUCAUCGUUCUUUCUUAGUUUUCUAAAGAAUAUUUUAGAAAAUAAUUCAUAGAAAAACCUGUUUUCUGUUUUUUUUGUGAGAGGUACAUUUUUGCCUUGCGAGCUCUCGGAAACGUAAAAACAUAUAUAUUUUUUCUAGAGCUACGGUUUUGCCUUUGCGAGAGGCACGACUGUGCCUUUCGGAAGGGAAAAUAACGUGUUUUCUGUUUUCUUUCAUGAGAGGCACGGUUUUGGCUUCGUGAGAGGCACGUGCCUCUCGAAAAGGGAAAAUAACUCGUUUUUUUUUCAAGAGGCGCAGUUUACCUUUGCGAGAGGAACGACCGUGCCUCUGGAAAAGGAAAAAAAAAGCGUUUUCUGGUUUUUUUUCUAUCGGGAGAGGCACGGUUUUUUGGUCAUUUUUUUUUCGUGAAAAAAAAAAUCGUCAAAACAUAUCAACAUGGGUUCUAGUUUUGAAGAUCUCAAUGCGAGAAAUCCAAAGGUAAAAAUGGUUCAAGAUUUGGACGCACGGUUUAGGAGAUAAAAUGUUCUGAAAAUACGAAUCUACGAAACUCUUAGGUUGCGACAAAUGACACGUAUGCAGUGCAACAUUUGUCGUAAUCUGGAAAGGUGGGAGUAAUUUUUAAGAGGAGUACUCCCUAAUUAAUGAUUUCCAAGCAACCAUGAGCGAUGUGUGUAGCGGGAUAAAUUUGUCUAGAAAAAAAAGCAGUAUAAAUUAAAAAAAGGUGCGGAGCCGAACUCAUGACCCGUGGCUGUCAAUUCCUGAUGCACUUCACCAGAGCUAGUAAGCAUUCGGGACAUGCUAAAAAUAUUAGUUAUAUUUUUAGAAAUGGCACACCAAAUGUUUUUUAUGGUAAUUUAUAUUGGCACAAGGAUGAGAAAAUUAGUUUCCAAACAGGACAAUUUUCUGGUAAGAAGAUGAACUGAGCCGGAUUUUCCAUACUCACCUACUAAACUUGCCAUCCUCGACGGAGCGUGAACAUUCAUCUGAAAAGAAUGAACAAUUUUUGAACAUUUUUAGAAACUUGAACAAUUUUUUUCACAAAAGUUUUUUUUCCACGCCUUUCACAAAUGUGAUAUCAUGAUUAAAAUUUCAAGCUCUUUAAACAUUUUUCUAAAAAAUAUCAUAAUUUUAUGGAUUUUUUUGUCGAUUUUACUGUUUAUCUCAGCUCAUUUGAACUCGGGCUGAGAAGGUGACUUUCCCUCACGUAGUCACAUGUGUCGUGUGAUUUGGGAGCCUAAGCUCCCUCCAAAUGUAAAAAAGACAGUUGUUGUGCAACUUAUGGGGCUUAGACUUCUGACAGGCCUGCACGCCAAGUUUUCCCAGACUACUUAAGCAUGCUUUGGUUUGCAUGAAUUUUAUAGGAAUUAUAUAGAUAUGAUUUUUGCCAAAACAAAUCCUUUUAGAGCCCAUUGAUUUGUUGGAACAGAAUCAUAUAUUCCUAUACAAGUUUGAUUCAUAUCCUCCAUAUUUCAGAAGAAAAGAAACAUUAGCCCAAACCCAAUGGAAAAAAAUACUAUGACUGAGACAAAAUGAUAUCUCUUUUUCUAUACGUAUUCACAUCAUUUGAGAUACAUGUCAUGUCAAUUGCUAUAGUUUAUUUCCAAUUUCUAUGAUAUUUAUAUCCUAUGAACCAAAAUAUGUCUCGUUUAGCCACUAACGCACAAGCUAAUCGGCCAAUAAUCCGUAUGUAUCUUGGAAAAAAUUUACUCAUUUGUACUGUAUAUCUGAAAAGUUAAACUCUACGGCCUACGCACUUGUUAAAAAUAAUGCACAAACGAUUUCUUUUUUAAGACAAACAAACGACUUCGCUAACGGGCUAACCUUGGUUCACCCGAGCCAGGCCUGGUUUAAAGCCUUUCUCCCUUACCCGGCCCAUGUACGCGCUCCUCGCCGUACACGGCGCACCUGCUGCUGUUUUCUAAAAAAAAAAAAACUGCUGCUUUUUUUCUCAUGUCAUCCACCAACCGACCUUGUUCACCAUUUGAAAAAAGAAGGAAUCCCACCAGCCAAGGAACUCGGGCCAACUAGAUUUCACCUGUGAAUUAAGCAGCGGCAAUUGUUGUGCUCUCAUAUCUGCUCACAUAUUUACAAUCGAGUUCCAGUAGAAACUUUGUCAGUUUCUCGCAAAAUGUAACGUUUAUGCGUGCUCUCAUUAACCAUCGUUCCAGGCAAACUAUAUAUAUAUAUACACUAGCAAUCAUGUCCGUGCGUUGCAACGGAAAAAAAAUCACCACCUUAUACAUAUUGGAUGAUAUUUGUAAAUCCUUUGACAACAAACAACAUGAUAAAUAGUGUUACAUAAAAAUGUAAUAACUACAUGAUUUUUUUAUUGUACUCAAUGUGUUUCUAAAAAUCUUUAUGGGCAUGAUUUAAAUAAAUAUGAAGGUCAAGAUUAAUCCACUUGUUUACAUAAAUCUCGUAUCAACAGUUUAGUAUACAUCAUCGUAUAUUGAUUGGUUAUUGUGCAUGAUGAAAAAUAGGAUGACUAUGUACAUAUUGUAAACUUUAGCAUAUGAUAGCUAGUAGGAAUCAACAUCCGCUAUAGUGUCAACUCUAUCUUUUGUGGAAGCAUUAAACUGUUAUAUCUACUCAAGUUGAAUGGGACAAGAAACAUGUGUAAUAAGCAUUUUCAAAAUAACCAAUAUAGAGAAGGUAUUAAUUAAUAUUGCACAAUAAGCUUUAUCGUAGAAAGUAACAUGCAAAAUAACAGCAUAUUUGAAAUCUUCACCUUUUUCUGAGCGAUUUUUCAUAUAUAACAUGUUAGAUUUAGAGUUAGGAUUUAAAAUAUACGAAUGUUUUAAAUACAUUUGAAUUUACACAAAAAAAUAAAGCAAUAAGGACGGUGCCAAAUUCGAACUCAAGUCCCCUUCCAGUGCAGGAAGAUAUCGGUGCGUUACCACUGGGCUAGAUAGGUGACUGUGCUAAAAUAAAGAUGGCACUUUAUAUAUAUCAAAUUAAACGAACCGUUUUUCGUAUUUUUACUUAAAAAAGAAGUACAGGUUGAAUACACAAAAUGUCAGAGGCUUUUUUGCAAAACCGUCACGACGCACGACAGAAGCAGUAGCUGCUUUAUUAUUAGGGAAAGNNNNNNNNNNNNNNNNNNNNNNNNNNNNNNNNNNNNNNNNNNNNNNNNNNNNNNNNNNNNNNNNNNNNNNNNNNNNNNNNNNNNNNNNNNNNNNNNNNNNNNNNNNNNNNNNNNNNNNNNNNNNNNNNNNNNNNNGAAGAUUAGGGAAAAGAUAUCUAACUCCACAAACGUACACGUGCUCGCGUUGGUUUAGUUGGCCGGUGCGAUCGUCAACCGAUGGACACAUGCAUGAGCAGAAGUUUUUGGCAAGCAACAAAGACUGAUUUCACCACGAACAUUGCAAAGCUUUUCAAUGCCUUUAUUUUUUACUCUAUAGAUAGCUAAUACCAAUUACUGCAUGAUGUCGAGACUCUCAGGGAGACAAGCAAACUGCUACUGAUAGUUGCAUUUGGUGCACGUCUCCGGCCGGCCAGAAUCUCAUGGUCAGCAGCAGCAUGGUCCUUGGGGCAGCAAGUAGCCAGCCAAGGAUGAGACUCAGCUCAAAACCGAUGAGCUCGCGUACCCAGAUGGCCCGUUGCCUGAUCAGUGAUCGGUGAUCCCUUUGGGCUUUGAAAGGGUGAACUCUGCAAAUGGUCAGAGGUUGCUAGGCGUAGCAGCUCCCGCGCGUGGAGGCGUGCCGCCGUUGGUCUCUUGAACGCGGCAGUGGCCACGACAGAUCGUGGAUGCGUCAUGCAUAUGCUAGCUCAAUUGAAAACUUGAAAUGAUUCCGUUGCAGGUGAUGCAAACGGAUGGAACUGUGUGCUGUCGCAUUUGUUUUCAUGUUGUUUUACGGUAGCGGAAACGAAUACAUAAACUCUAUAAAUAAAUACCAAAACAUAUAUAUAUGUCUUCAUGUCAGGCAGACACAUAUUAGAGCAUCUCUAACAGNNNNNNNNNNNNNNNNNNNNNNNNNNNNNNNNNNNNNNNNNNNNNNNNNNNNNNNNNNNNNNNNNNNNNNNNNNNNNNNNNNNNNNNNNNNNNNNNNNNNNNNNNNNNNNNNNNNNNNNNNNNNNNNNNNNNNNNNNNNNNNNNNNNNNNNNNNNNNNNNNNNNNNNNNNNNNNNNNNNNNNNNNNNNAAAAAACACAACUUCAACAGGUUCCUUAAGCGGUGUUCUAAAAUGGGGCAGCCCUAAAUUUUGCCCCUUCGUACCCUUUAUUUGGGGCAAAGAGGAUCGCGCGGAGACGUGUCCUAUCCUUUUCAUUUCCGUGCGCGUGCGCCCAACCGCUCNNNNNNNNNNNNNNNNNNNNNNNNNNNNNNNNNNNNNNNNNNNNNNNNNNNNNNNNNNNNNNNNNNNNNNNNNNNNNNNNNNNNNNNNNNNNNNNNNNNNNNNNNNNNNNNNNNNNNNNNNNNNNNNNNNNNNNNNCUCUUCCUCCUCUCGCUCUCUACCGCCCCGACCGGCCAAAUCCGUCGCCGCCGCUCACAUCCGGCCAUCCUCUCACGCGCCGCCGCCCACUAAUCGUGUCCUCGUCGCCGUCCACACCCGCCGCCACGCCAAAUCGCAUCCGCAGACGCCCGCAAACCCUAGCCGCCACCCUUAAAUCUCGUCUCCGGCCGCCGCCGCUCCCGAGCUCCCUUGCCCCCAAAUCGGGUCCGCCACCGCCGCUCUCGUGCUCCCUAGCCUGCUCCCAUGCUUCGCCCCCAUACGUCGCUGCUCCCUACCCCCGCACACAAACCCUAGCCGUCGCCUCCGCCAUGGCGUCGCCGAAGAAGAUGAAGGCGAGGUUCGGCUACAACGGCGUGCGAGUGAGGCCGUCGGGCCGGUGGAGCGCGGAGCUGCAGCACGAGAGCGUGCGCUACUACCUCGGCGCCUUCAACACCGCCGAUUUGGCCGCUCGGGCGUACGACAUCGCCGGGUGGCGGCUCGGNNNNNNNNNNNNNNNNNNNNNNNNNNNNNNNNNNNNNNNNNNNNNNNNNNNNNNNNNNNNNNNNNNNNNNNNNNNNNNNNNNNNNNNNNNNNNNNNNNNNNNNNNNNNNNNNNNNNNNNNNNNNNNNNNNNNNNNNGUUCCCCGGGAGGAGCUCAACUUCCCGGACAUCACCUCCCUGCAGAACGCCAUCUUCGUCGGGCCCCCGAUGAAGAACUGGGUGAAGACCCGGUUGGUGAAGAAGAAGGAGGAGCCGACAAGGGUGAUUGAGACCGACGACGAGGCAAUGGCUCAGUUUGCUUGGGAGCAUCCCGAGUACGUGCAGUACGAGCGUGAGUUCUUCUGGAAGCGCGAGAUGGAGAAGAAGAAGAAGANNNNNNNNNNNNNNNNNNNNNNNNNNNNNNNNNNNNNNNNNNNNNNNNNNNNNNNNNNNNNNNNNNNNNNNNNNNNNNNNNNNNNNNNNNNNNNNNNNNNNNNNNNNNNNNNNNNNNNNNNAGAAGAAGAAGAAGAAGCUCGAUGAGGCUGGACCAUCAACGGUGAAGACGGUGAUCGAGUUGAGCUCCUCCUCCUUCGAGUGGACAUUGGACGGAUCAUCUGAUACGUCGGAUGAGUUUGAUUAGCGUACGUUGUGAAAUCGAGUUCAAGUCGAGUUUAGGUUAUGUAGAAUCGAGUUUAGGUGGAUGAUGGGAUGGCUGGUUACAUAUCAUGCGAAGGUUGAUGGAUGUUUACCUCUCCGAUUUGCCAAAUAAGAUUCACUGGGAAUUAUCCGUCAAUGGAAUAUUCUUCAUCAAGUAUAUGUAUUUGUACCUAAUAGACUAUGGUCCAAUUUCGAAAUCAAGUCAUAGUUGGAAGAUUAAAGGACCUUUGAGAAUCAAAAUAUUCGUGUAGUCUCUACACAAGGAAGUGAUUCUAACUAACGACAACUUAGCCAAGCGAAGACGGGAGGGAAGUAAAUGAUGUCGCUUUUGUGUUCAAGAUGAAAAUAAAAAACACCUCUUUCUCAAAUAUCCUCUUGCCAAAAUUUUAUGACAUACCAUUCAUAUAACCUUUAAUGUUAUCCCUCCAACUAGUAUUAACAUGUCAUUUGGAAUGUGGCUUGUUGGAGUGGAGUCAAGUAUUGCAUGUCAUAUUCAAACAGGAGUAUGUGCAUUAGUGUGGGCUAUAUUAAACUGCAGAAAUGACAUCAUUUUUAACAUACAAAAUCUUAUAAUUUUUUACAUGUUAUAUACAGAGCUACUACUUGAAUCCUUACGUGGUCGUUAUUUAAUAAUGCGGAAGCCAAGGAGCAUAUGACUAUUGGGUGCAACCGGCGGGAGACGGUAGCACAGAAUACUUACAGUCGAUUUAGAUGUGGUCCAAUAAUAGACUAGGUGUUUAGUCAUCUUGUUCUAUUUUUGCCGGUUGUGGCAACUUUAUUUAUCUUUUUAAUUUGGCUCUUUUGUAAGCAACUACUGUAUCACGACCUUUUAUGUGACCUUUUGCUUAAUAAUAUGGUUGCAUUCAUCAUUUGGAUGCAGAAGCCGAGGUUUGAUCCUCCUUUCCAAAAAAAAAUAUUCCUAAAAAGGAAGCGGAGCGGAACGAACAACAAAACCGAAUGUUGACCGGAACUUAAAAACCCCUUGAGUCAUAGAGAAACACAUAUAAAAACCAACAAAUUUGCUGAAUUGUUACCAUGACUACAGAAUAAUAUUAUUUAGUUAGCAACUUAGGGUAGUAUUGCAAUAGUACUGAACAAAUGCAUUUAGCCCUAGUUUAGUACAUGUGUGGUAGUAUAUAUGUACACAAUAGUCCUCGAAGUGAAACGCGACAAUGAAAGUUUUCAAAUCAUUUCAUCCCUAGGUAUUAAAUAUGUACACUAGUUGUCCUCGGAAUGAAACGAGACAAUGACACUAUUGAUCAUCGGCUGCGCCAGAGUAUCUUUUGGUUUUUACCAAAGUCCUCGUAUCAAAUAAUCACUAUGUAACUUAAUGUAGGAUGUUUCAAAUUGAACUGCAAAAAACGUCUUAGAUGAAUUGCAGGGGUAGUAUUUGUUUAGCUUAAAAUCCUAGUCAGUUUUUUGCUUGCCCAUAUGAGUGAAAACCGUUUCUUCUUUCUUCCAUUGUCAAAGAGACACGAGUGUACCAAAAUUAGUUGAGGACGGACAUCAACAAAUUAAGUAACACAAAAGUAUGACUGACACAACCCUACGACUAGCAGUUCAACCAACGAGUAAGCAGCAUAUUUACAAUAAAACACACCCAAUUGACAUGAGUGGUUUACAUGGGAGAUUUCCUCGACAUGGAGGAGUAAAACUACCAACCAACCACUCCGCUCCAACUUUCACCAUUAGUGAAUUUGGUAUAAUGACAACUUUUCUAAAAAACCUUAAGGUAAUGCAACAACAUGAGUAUAACAAUUUUUGUUACAACGCAAGGGGGUACGUGUAUAGUAGCUUGUCUCUUAACAAAAACAGAAAUUUGGUAAUGAUACAAAAAUGGCAAAUUUAAUUUACGCAUCGUUAAAACAUACCCGAACUUUACACUGAGGAGAACAAGAGAGAUAUUUGUUCAUUAUUGGCCAAAACUUGGAUUUUGUAAUAGGACUGUGAAUGGAGCAUGGGCCACCAUGAGCUUGGAAGAUCCCCGACUGAAAAUUUGCAGAUAAUAGAUUGCGACUUGUGAGUGAACCAAGGGGAUGUCAGAUGUGUGGUGGCAUGAGAAGUCAUAAAAAAACCCUGAAUUAACGUCCCCAUAAAAAUAUCAAGAAUAUUCCCAUGCAUAAAUCCCUAGGGGGUCCAUGGAUCCCUUUGUUACUCCUGGUUUUGUACUUUCACUUUUUUCGUUGCAUUUUAACCACGCAAAGAUAUCUGGACAGUACAACACCAACAUUUGUGGCAGCGACACUAGGAAAUUCUCGAUCCCUUCUUUCCAGACCAACAAAAAUCGGUAUGAAACUAGCUCGGGUUUAGCUCAUGCGUGCCAAUGUGGUGACGCUAGGAAAUUCUCGAGCCUUUCUUCCCACAUCAAUGGAAACCGGUACGUAACCGGCUCGGGUUCAACUCAUGCGUGCCAAUGCGGUGACGCUACGAAAUUCUCGAGCCCUUCUCCCCACAUCAACGGAAACCGCUACGGAACCGACUCAUGCUCAACUAAUGCACGCAGACGUGUCAGUGGUCGACUCCGGGCCGCGAGAAAAGUUAACGUGCUGCCAUUUCAAGUCACAAAAGUCCCGACUAGGCAACAAAAAAAAAACAAUAACAUAAAAAAUCUUGAACUACACAGACCCUUUUAUUUGUGCAAAAAAAUCACCAAGGAAUAUUCCCAUGCACAGAUCCCUGCUGCCCGCGGAUAACAUGCCAAUCCAGCAUCCUAUUUAUCGCUCUGUUGUUAUCCUCGCGUGGCUGGACUUGACGCGCAAGAAUAUAAGUUACCAUCGACACACAUAUACUUCCUCCGUCUCAAAAAUAAGUGACUCAAAAAUGACUCAGUUUUGUACUAACUUUAGUAUAAAGUUGAGUCAUUUUUGAGUCAUUUAUUUUGGAACGGAGGGAGUAGCACCAGAGAAGGCACCGUGCUUGCUGGACCUGUGAAGCGUACGUUUUUGACUUGGAAGAAAUUCUCGUGUGUCAUGAAACCCAUCGCCGUCGGCGCUGGAAUGACUCCGGCAAACAACCGUGACGGCGACGCCCCCAACCGGCGCAAAGGGCCAAGCUUUGGCGACCCAAAGAAAAAACACAAGGCCGGGGGAAAAUAUCUUUUAUAAUAUCCAGUCGUUUCCUACCCCCUUCCGACGGCCGUGAUCUGCUCGUCUGGUCCGAUGGACGGCGGCCGACGAGCCCCUCAUCCACCAACCCACCUCACCACACCUUUCCCCCGUGCGCCCGGUCCAUACGUGCACGGUGCGCCCAGACCUGUUGACGCCAAAAGCCAUUGUUCUCUGACGAGCGGCAAGGUUUAGUUUAGUUAUUUGUUUACGCGCGUAUGCCGGCUGCUAUUUUGUACUGCCAGCAUAGCAUUAUAUCUAUGCAUUUUGCUCACUCACUUUAGUGUGGAGUUCACAUCACCACAUGGACCAAGGCCCAGCUCUUUCAAGUGGCUAUGCGGAAAUAAACUGAUAUGAAAAUAAGCCUUAAAUAAGUCCAGGAUCAAUCUGUUACGUAGGACGUGAUUCCAUCAUGUAUCUUUUUUUUAAUCAUUUUUUGCUUUCUCUUUUCCUCCAUCAAUCACAUGCAAAUGAUCGGCCUUCUACUUCUUGGCAUGUUGCGACUCUGCGACGCGGCACACCUUUUCAUUGUCAUGACAUGCACACAGUACCUCCGCCAUGGACACUCGUUCGCAACUUUCGCAAUCGGGGACUCAUUGCCUUGAGAAUUGCUGCCAUUGGCCUCAGACUCCGAGGUUGGCUUCGGAACCUUCUAUCUGGACCCUUGCCCAUGUACUCGCCCUCUGUGGUGCUGAAGUGAAUACGGGGCGUGAGCUUUCGUUGGACACACCGUCACUGUUGGAUUCAUAGUGGCGGUGAAGACUCCUGGCAUGUGGACCAGUGCUAAAAUCUGAUAUCGUUUAGGGAAUGGUGGAGCCGUUACUAGGAGGGGUCUCUUCACCUCGUUCGAGCAAGUGGUGAGCUCCAAGUCGACGGAUCCGGACCCAUCAGACUCAGAUCCGCCGUUGAGCCGACCAUGAUGGAGUGGAGGGGAUGAGACAAAACUAGAGCGGAGUGGAGCAGUCGAGAGUGAGGGCUAGGGUUUGGUCCGGGAUAAGGAUAUAUGGGGGUAUAAUGUGUAUGUACCAGGUGUCGGUCCGAUAUGGCAGGUGCGCUUGGACGUGCGUGUACAUUCCCUUAUCCUCCCUCCUCUCACAUACGAGGGAUAUGAGAAUUGUCGAACAACCUAGAUGCAUGGGAGGAGUCUAGGGGUCCGGUGGGGUAGCAUUUCCUCCUCUGGGUGGUGUGCGAGUUGCCCGGCCAAACUUUCAGGGGAAGUGGGACCCGAUUGUAUGAAAGCUCCAAAGGAAAUUGUUGGAAAUCUAUGGAACCAAUUAUGUUUUUUUCCUUUGCUCUUACUCCUUCCGUUUCUAAAUAUAAGAUAUUUUAAAGAUUACACUAGGGACUACAUACAGAGCAAAAUUAUUGAAACUAUAAUUUAAAAAAUGUCUCUAAAAGAUCAUAUAUUUAGGAACGGAGGGAGNNNNNNNNNNNNNNNNNNNNNNNNNNNNNNNNNNNNNNNNNNNNNNNNNNNNNNNNNNNNNNNNNNNNNNNNNNNNNNNNNNNNNNNNNNNNNNNNNNNNNNNNNNNNNNNNNNNNNNNNNNNNNNNNNNNNNNUUAGGAACGGAGGGAGCAUUAUUUAACACUAAUCAGGCUGAUUAACCUAUAAUAUCACCCUCAUAGCAGCUACCGGCGGCUUAGGAUUGAUUGACACUAUGGUCCACGGUGCAUGCACCAAGUCCACGAAAAACCCCAUAGCCGUCCCCACGAGCCCCCCAAAACGCACCUGAAAAUCUAUACAUAACCCCUCGGCCAUCCCCCCCUUCCAACCCCNCCCUGCGCUCGCCGCUCCCGGCCCGCCGCGGCUCCCCCGCCGCCGCCGCCUCCUCCCGCCGGAGCGGCGGCCUGCACCGCGUGCGCGCCUCCGCGGCCGUCGAGACCGUCGAGGCGGCCGCCACGGGCGAGCUGCUCGACAAGUCGGUCAACGCGAUCCGGUUCCUGGCCAUCGACGCCGUCGAGAAGGCCGUGUCCGGCCACCCGGGGCUCCCCAUGGGCUGCGCGCCCAUGGGCCACAUCCUCUACGACGAGGUCAUGCGCUACAACCCCAAGAACCCCUACUGGUUCAACCGCGACCGCUUCGUCCUCUCCGCCGGCCACGGCUGCAUGCUCCAGUACGCCCUCCUCCACCUCGCCGGCUACGACGCCGUCAAGG